UAAAUUUGGAUUCAUCAGUGUGGUGAGCCGCUUCUGCCGUUUCUGCAGACUAUGGUCGCCAUUACAAGAUGACGCUGGCUCCGCUGUGGUCUGUGACAAACAACUCCUUAUCUGGGAAAGUUGGCACAUGAUUUUUCACCACCCUGUGAGAAAGCUCCACGCGGCAGCUUUGCAUUGGGGCUUGGGAUGCUUUAUUAAGGCUGGGAGGGGCAUCCGAGAGAGAGAAGAAGAAAUAUCAAGGGCCUGAAUAAACUGUUGAAAGAAGAUUCCCGAGUUGCGUCUUCCUUGCGGGCAAGGGGUCGCAACAAGUGGUGCCGAGACCCGGGAACCAGAACUUUCAGCAGUCAGGGGUGGUGCACCGGUUAGUCCCAGGUAAGUGGGAUCCGCGAUCAAAGCGGGGUUAGUCCCUAGUAAGUGGGAUCCGCGACCAAAGCGGGGCAGCUCCUCUGUAAAGAAAGAGAGAGCAUUACAUUUUAUUGCAGCUGCACUGUGUACUUUCGCUUUUGUUUUCUGUGUUUCUUUUGUUGUGUCAUUUCGCUUUUGUUUUUUGUGCUUCUUUUGUUGUUGUGACGACAGGGACGCUCCCCUGUAAAAGGAAGAGAGCGGGGACUUUUGUACUUUCACUUUCUUUAUAGCUCUAAAAACAUUAUGGGCGUUGCUUCUUCAAGCCCAAUUUUGUUGGCCCUAGAUGGGUUGUUACAUUCAAAAGGACUUAAGAUAAAGCAGAGUACUUUGCAGAUGUUUUUAAGAGAAGCUGAUAUAGCGGCUCCUUGGUUUGCUUUUUCAGGGAGUCUUACGGUUCCCAGCUGGGACAAAUUAGGGAAAGAUCUAGAUUUCGCUCAUGAGCAAGGUACCUUGCAGGGUGGCAUUAUACCACUUUGGAAGUUAGUUAGAGGAUGUAUAACAGAUGGUAAAUGCCAGGAAGCUGUGAGUGAGGGUCAAGCUAUUCUUGAGCAAUUGCAUGAGGAAAAAUCUGAAGGAUCAUGUAGUGAAGUGGCAGAGAGUAUUAAAAGUAACAGUAGUGAGAAGGCAAAAGAGCCUGAAGAUAAAAAUAGGAGAAGGCUCUACCCAGACUUGACCGAAUUAAAAACGCCUGAGAACACAAGCGACUCAGAGAGUUCUGAGGACCUUGAUAUAUUGUUACAACAACUACAUAAGAUAAAAAUGAAAAAGAAGAAAAAGGAGACACAGGGCACGCAGGCCUACUGUAAGAAGGGGAAGGGAGUUAACAUCGGUCAACAAAACUCUGAGGAGGAGGAGGUAGAAUAUCUAGAAGAAGAUAUGGUGCCGAUUGCCCCACCUCCGUAUGUGGGGGGGAGCCAAGGUUCCGGGAGAUCUUUUCAUGCACAAGUUUGGAGGACAGUUAAUACAGAUAUGGGACUUGCAUACCCUGUAUUUCAGGACAAUAACAGGGGAAGAUAUCAUGAGCCUUUAGACUUUAAGAUAAUUAAAACCUUGGCAGAAUCUGUCCGCACUUAUGGCAUAGAUGCCGCUUUCACUCUCACUCAGGUGGAGGGACUUACUAGAUUUUGCAUGACUCCCUCAGAUUGGGCUAGUCUAGUCCGCGCUUGUGUUUCCCCAGGGAAAUAUUAGGAGUCCAAAGUUGGCUGUUUAAUGUUUCUGGCAGUACCCAAGACUCGGAGCGAGGUAGGAGGCUUAAAAUUUCUGCAAAUAAUUCACAAUUAUCUAAUGCUACAUUACCCUCCGCAGCAGUCUGUCUCCAAUCUCCGUUCCUGUUUCUUUUGGCUAAUGUUACAUUACAGGGGAUGCUUAAUUGUUCUAAUAUUACCUGUUAUUUGUCUGAGUGUUGGAAUGGCUCCUGGACUACGGCAAUGGUUAUGAAAUUUCCAACCUUUGUCCCGAUCCCGGUUACUGCAGAUCCAGAGUCAUUUCCUAUUGUUGAACUGAUUAGAGCCCGUAGAGAUUUUGGAAUUACGGCAGCUAUAGUGACAGCUGUGGCGGUAUCUGCUGCUGCAGCAGUUAUAGCUGGAGUAGCNAUUUAACACUUUGCCUCUAUUGAGAUGAUCAUAUAUUUUGUCUCCUUUAUUUUAUUAUAUUUAAACACACACACACACUCACAUAUACACAUAUAUAUUCACAUGCAUUUAUUAUGUGUGUAUCGAAUAUAUGUAUGGCAUUAUGUAUACACAUGCAUUUAUACACACAGAUAUGUUUACAUAUAUUUGUCUAUUAUUUUGUAAUUCCUAUCUUAUUGAGUCUUAUUUUUAAAAUUAGAACUGGAUAUUAAAUAUUUUCAAGGCUCUUUCUCAGCAUCUAUAUAUGUAAUCCCAUGUGCAUUCUCUUUUUAUGUAAUGAUAUGGUGCAUGUUCGUGAUUUCUGACAAUAAAGCCAGUGUUGUAUUCAUUGAAGAAAUAAAAAAAAAAUCUUCUCUAAAAUCUCUUUUAAAAUUCUUUUUAUUUCAUGUUUAUUUCCAUAAGUAUUUGAGGCUAUGCAUUUCUCUGUGAUUAUUAUUUUGCAUGCAUUGCUUAAACUAUGUGCUUUUAAAAAUCAUUAUUGUAUUUUACAGAUUCUAUAAUUUUGAUUUAUAUACCCUCUUAACUGGAAUAUUUAUUUCAUAGAGAUUUAAGUUUUCAUGUGGAAUUAACUUUUUUAUUUCUAGAUUUAUUUAUUUCAAUUUUUAUUGCAUUAGAUUUGAAGAAACUUUUCUUAAUUUUUUGAUUUUAAGGAGUUUAUGAUUCUGUAUGUGAUCUAACACAUGAGAGAUUUUAUACAACUCAUGUAUAGUUGAGGAAAAUGUUUCCUUUAUAAUAGCAUAAAAUUUUACAUAUAUGAAUAAUAUCUACCUUAUUGAUUUUAUUUUUAGAUAUUUUAUAUCUUCAUUUACCUUUUUGCCCAUUUCACUUAUUCUGAACUAUUAACACUACAUAUGUCACUAUAUAUGUACAUAUAUACACAUACACAAUAUACAUGACACAUAUCAUUGUUAUUUUUCUGAUGUUUUAUUUUUUACUAUUUAGUCAAUUUCUGUUUCUCUGCAUACCUAGUAUUUCUUAUAAGUGUUGUAUAAUUUGUGUAAAAAAAAUUAAAUAAAGGAAGACCAACUUGAUGGCUAGAGGCUUUUUUUUUUUCCCUUGUAGAAGGGGUUUAUUUUACUUCUCACAGAGAGGUAAAUUAGUUGCUCUAGACAAGGAAUGAAUUGAUUCUAAGCUGGACUUGGCUUUGGUGGCCUGAGUCCAUUUGUAAUUCUCCCUCAUUCUGACAAUGUAGCCCUAAGGAGCCUAAGAAAACACCUGGGAUGUCCACAGGGUUCUUUCAAGUUUGUAGGUCAUAUACUUCAGUUUUUUGUACCUUCAGCUUUGAGAAAAGUCCAAGAAUUUUUUCCCAGCUUCUAUGCACCUCCUGUUUUCUCUCAAAUUCUUAGCUUUUUCUAACUUCACCUUUGAAUUGGUAAAUGCCUCAAUGGAAAAAAAUUCAAAAGUCGGUUUCAGAAAUUCAAAAGUUGAUUUCAGGAUUUUGGUAUUGUUUUCUGCAGAGCAGUGGUCUUAUAAAUUCUUGAAUCCUUGAUAGAUUUCUGAUAAUACCAAAUAUGUGUGAGCAUUUUGUCUAGCUUUUUGGUUGUUAUCAUUGGACAGUUGGUUAGAAGUAGGUUGGCCUAUCACUGCCAACUGCAACCACCAUAUUUUAAAACAAAAUAGUUGAUGUUAAAUAUGAAUUCUCUUUUCUUGUUCAUCUUUUUACUUUCCUUUAGCAAUAAACUAUUUGUUUUAGUCAGCUUUUUCAUUGCUGUGACUAAAAACAAAAACAAAAAAACUGACAAGAACAAUUAUAGAUGGAAAAGUUUAUUUGGGGGUUCAGAGUUUCAGAGGUUUCAGUCUGUAUGUAGCUGGCUCCAUACCUUGGGGAUCUAAUGAGGCAGAACACCAUGGUGGAAUGAUGUGGCAGAGGAAAGCAGGUCAGGAUGUGGCCACGAAGAAGCAGAGAAAGAUCUGUGCAUAGUUCACGAAAUAUAUACCUCAAAAGCAUGCUCCCAAGUUAGCACCUCCUUCAGCCACACCCUGCCUGCCUACAGUUACUACUCAAUUAAUACCUAUCAGUGUAUUUACACACUGACUGGGUUAAGACUCUCAUAACCCAAUCAUUCCACUUCUAAACUUUCCUGCAUUGUCUCAAACACAAGCUUUUUGGGGACACCUUUAUAUAUAAACCAUAACACAAUGUUUUCUGUAUGACUGCCAAUAUUUGGGGAGCAAUUACUUUGUUAAGAUUUGCAAUCUUCCUAAGGCAUUCUUAACUAAUAAGAAAAGACAUAGCAGAGUAGAUUUUUCUUUCUCAGUUUUCUUUACCCUUGAAUUGUGUUAACAAACUGAAAAAAUAUGAAGCGUGUAUUAGAUUGGUAAAUAUAUUUUCUCAUAGUAUCUAAUUUAUACUAUAAUCCAUAGUAUCUAAAGAUGUUAUACUGUUUCUUCCAGUGGUAGAUAUGUAUAUAUUAGCCAGCCAAUCCUUUAUAGCUUCAAUUAAAUAGUAUUCUUGUCAGGGGAAAGUUUUUUUUGCUUUGUUUUGUUUUUUAAACAAUCUCUUCUGUAAAAAUAUUCAUUUAUUACUACUAAACCCAGAAUAAUGACCAGGAGAUAUAACUAAUGAAUAAUAAGGAAGAAAGACCACUUAUAUUUGAUAACAUUUACAAGUUAAAAGAUCGAAUAUUUGCUUACUACUUUAUGCAGCUUUUAAAAGUAUAAGUAAAACUUACUAUUACUUACUUUAAAAUAUAUUUUUUAGCUAUCAAUGGACCCUUAUUCUAUUUAUUUUUACAUUGUUGAGAAUCAAACCCAGAGCCUCACACAUGAUAUGCAAGCAUUCUAACACUGAAUUACAAACCCAGCCCCCCAAAUUACUAUUAUUUAUAAUAGAAAAGAAAAAAUUUGUAUCAUAGGCAGAGUGAUUAUACCCCAAGGAUAAGCUCACUUUUAAUGUAAUGGGUACCAUUAUAAUUCAACAGAAAAUUUUUAUGGCUUUGAAAAAUUGCCCAUUUCUGAGUUCAGGUGUAUGAAGAAAUUGGGUGCUUAUGAAAUCAUUAAUAAAGAUGAUAUAAAAUUAAACCAAUUAUAACAAAGAAAACAUUUAUCCAGACUCUGCUUACAAUGCUUAUAUUUUAGAUACUUUAUUAUAGAGUUAUAUAAUACAUAAGGAAUUAAUAUAUUUCACAAGAAACUUCAUUAUCAGCUAAGUGCCUAUUAUGCAUAUGGUGAGAACAUUAUUCAUAAAAUCUGGUUUAAAAUUUAUCUACACUUAUUUAUACUUGAUAGAAGCGAAUUUUAAAAAUAUACUUGAGUACAAAGCUAGAAUAUCAUUUCAAAAUAGGCAUAAAUGGGCAGGGACAUGAUGUACAUAUGCACAUGAUGACACUAUAAUAUUAAAUCCAUCAUAUUUCAAUUAUUCUGCUUCAUUUUCAUGUGAAUAUUAAUCCCAAAUAUUAAAGGAAAUCUGACUCUACUUGAACAUUGAUAAGAAGUCAACCUUCAGGCAUAGUCAUCUUUUGCAAUGUUGUCAAGAAACUUACAUGAAAGGUCACAUGAUAUUUUUUUAAAAAAUUGACCUGUUAUUUGUCUACUUAAUCUAGUUAACAAAGUUUUUGUCUGUUUGGUUUUUUAAAUUUUUUUAUUAAAUUAAUAUAAGGCAUAGCCUUAAAGAAUGUCUACACACACACACACACACACACACACACAAAUACCUGUGCCUUUCAGGCUUUUAAAAUUGUAUUAGAAUUUAUAAGUAAUUCAUAAAAGUGUGUUCACAUUGAUUAAAAACUGGGUAUUCUAAAUUGUUAUUGAGAAAGCUCAUGCUCAAUUUACAUUAUUUUUAUACAUGUUCAGGGAUACAGUUUCAACUUGCGCUUAUUCUGGAAGUUAAUCAUCUCACUUUAAAAAGAUGGUUUAAAAUUCUCUGAUAUGCAGAUACUAAUUCACAAUGGGGGGCAUUAGGGAAUAUAGAAGUACUUUGGAUUAGAUUAAGGGGAAUAAAGGGAGGGGAGGGGAAAUGGGAAUAGGAAAGAUAGUAGAAUGAAUUUGACAUCACUACUGUAUGUGCAUAUAUGAUUACAUGACCAAUGUAAUUCUACAUCAUGUAUUACUAGAAGAAUGAGAGGUUAUAUUCAUAUAUGUAUGUCAAAAUGCAUUCUACUAUAUGUAAAACUAAUUAGAACAAAUAAAAAUAAUUUUUCACCCUUCCACUGCCUUAGUACAUGCAAACUUCAUUACAUCCACUAAGUAGGGGUGAUCAAGUAUAAAGAAACUUUUUUGAAAGUGAAACAUUCAGCAGAAAGAGACUCAAGGAGCAAACUUGACAAUAUGUAAGUUCUAGGGAAAUCACUACCGGCUAUGUAUUUUGUACAUACUGAAUCACAAAUAUUAUUAAAAUGACAUUUAAGUAAGUGUUUUAAAGAGAAGAUACUUUGUGAAAAUAUUAGUGAAAAUCUUAGUAGAAAAAAAUUAAAAACACAAGCAAUGAAACUGGUUUGGGCAUAGAAAAUAUUAGGGUAAUGAAACAACUUGAGCAACAAGAGCAACACAGUCUUACCAGAAAAAAGGGAAAUUUGAAAUAGAAAUUAAAAUGAUGCUUAUUAUCACUUCUACCUCUACUAUCUAUCUUUUUAUCCAUUCAUUUGAAAAAGACUAAGAAUUAUAACAACUCUUAGUCAUUCAUUCGUUUAAGAGAAUAUCCCUAUCAUUGGGAAACUUACAUUGAAGUAUGAAGGGCAAUGAUACAUGUAAAUUACCCUCAAAUGAUUUUGGGGGGAAAAAUUGCCUAAGAGAGCAAGAGAACAAAACGAAAUAAAAUGUUUUCCGUAAAUUUGAAUAGAAUUAAAAUGUUUACUAUUCUUUAUCUUGAAGUUUUUCUAUAUAUUUGAAGUUAUUUUCAAAUUAAACAUUAUUUAAAAUGUCAAAUAAAAAAAAUAAAGCACCGUCUCAAGGAACAGAGGGCUCGGGGGCAGUGUGGGUGGGCAUGAGUGUGGAAGGUUGCUUGGCCCUGUAAUUGGCACCAUUGUCAUGGCUGUUGCCCCUCAGAGACCAGCAUUCCCAACCUUUGGCAGGGGCUCUGCUCUCAGUGGUCAUGAAGUAAAGGAUCAUUCAGGUCAUGUCAUCUUAUCAUCUGCCACCCUUGAAAGUGUCAGACAGGAUAUUUAAGCAGAAGCCCUCUCCAGAAGGAUGGCUGUCACCAACAUUGCCCAUUUUCAUUCAAAAGUCUACUCUACUACUGUACUGGAUAAAGUAUAUAAUUCCCUGACUCUACAUAUAUUUUAAAGACCAUCGACAGGCUUAGAUGCUAUGGCAUUGGUAAGAGUCUCACCUGGAUAUCAGUCACUUUGUUAGGUAUUAAGGGUAAAGUCACACACAAAAAAGAUACUCUACCUCAUCUUGGGAACCCUUAACAAUUAUUGGAAAAUGUAUACAGACAGGUAAGCACAGUAAGUAUGAAUCAGGGGAGGUCAGGAGAGUGAAUCAGGCAGCCAGAGUUUCAAUCAGGCUCCAUGACCUUGGGCAACUUAUCCUUAACAAGGCUUAUUUUGUCAUACCUGGAAAAAUGAAAUAUUAGUAGUUCAGAUAUUUGGGGAUUUAUUUAGAGCAGUAAAUUAAAAAUUCACAUAAAAUAUCUGUCAGUGUUUAAGUAUAUAGUAAUACCUCAAGGUAAGAUGUUAUUCCUUUAUUACUGGUGGAGGAUGUAGGUAACAUGUGAUAUAUACGAAAGGCACUGGACUUAAAUGACAGAGAUGGUUUCCUGGAGGUGCCAUCGAGAGAAGGCAAAUAUAAUUUUUUGCAGUGAAGGAUCAGGGAAGGAGAUGGAUUUGUGUGGGAUGAGACAGGACCUAAGUUGAGAGUUGGCAUGUUGAAACAGGUUGAAAGUUUUAUAGAAGAAUAGUGUAUUUGGGAACUGAAAGUUGACUGAUAUGGUUGGAGUUUAGAAUUAAAGGAUUCAGCAAUGAGUAGAUGAAGUAAAGAGUUUGAAACGUACUCAAAACUCCACAUUAUUUAUUUUUGUAAAACUAAUUAAGGAAACAAUGGGGUUUAAUUGUAUAUAGUUCAUUAUUCACAUUGGGUAUUUAAUAAUCUCAUAGAAACUCAUUGUUGCUUAGCAUGUUUAUUUCCCUUUAGUUGCACAAAGAUUUUGUAUAAAUAGACUAUAUCAGACAAUUCAUACAAUCUUACAGAGUCAGUUCUAAUGUAAUUCAGUUACAUGUAUGCAUGUUUGUGUUAUAUUAAUUUCAUAUUUACAUAUCCAUGUAACUAGGUCCAGUCCAGGAAAGAAAUUUUAGAAGUAUGAUGACAAUUUUAUGAACAAAAAAGCCAUAAUUCAAAGAGAUUAAAUCAUUUGUCAUUAAAUCAUGUGUUUCAAUUAAUUUUGCUUAAAAUGAUACACAUUCAGCAUUUUAAUACAGUACUUUUUAUUAUCUAGUUCAAAAUGCCAAUUGAAAUAUAUCAAAACUUUACAAUUAUUUUUUUAACCUAAUUAAUUUUGAGUUAGGCAAUAAUAUUAUAGGACAAAUUUCCAAGUACUAAAUGCCAUCAACACUCUUAAAUCUACCUAUAUUUUAACCUAGCAGUUGCCCUUCCUGAGGACAAAUUUAUCUUCUGUAGAGACUAUUUCCUGUGUAAUUUAUCCACUCUGGCAUUAUUACCUUGACUAAAGUUAUUGUACAAUAUGUAUUAUUUCCAGUGGUUUAGCUUUUCAUGGAAAAACAUAUUGUACCAGCUCAUUCCUCAGCACUUUCUUAGUGCUUUCCCCCAUUUAAAACCAAUCAAUAAAACCCCAAUUCAGUAACAUUUAUUACAUCAUUAAAUCACUAUUAAAUUGUUUUGAAAUACACUUCCAACAUUUCUGAGUAUAUAUUAUUAUUUUGACCUCUUAACUGACUUUCUUUUAUUACAUUUAUCUAUACGUUUAUUUAGGCUCCCAAACUUCAAUGUUUCAUUAAUUGUGUUGUAUUGUUUCAAUAUGUGAUUCAGUCUAUUACAUUUGUUUCUUUUGAUUCAGACAUUACCUGAUCAUUCUUGCUUGUCAUUUUUUUACAAACAAAUUUUAGAAUAUUCUAUUGCUCAUUGAAAAAGAGAUUUAGUCUUUUUUUGUAAUUUUUACAUAAAAAAUCAAGCUAAAAUUAGAGAUUUACUUUGGGAGAAUUCAAAUUUCAUAAAAUUAUAGUGUUAACACUUUUAUCCAAAACAUGGUAAGCUUCUUAUUUAUUCAUUUUUUAUUUUCUUGUUUUGUACUUGAUACUACUCUCUGGUUUCUUUCAUACAGCUUUCACAAAUUUGUUUUGAAGUCUACACAUAGAUAUUACAUUGUUUUUAUUGUUAUAAUACGUGAAGGUUUAUUUGUCAGUGAGUUUUUAUUUUUAAUGUUUUAUUAAGGUGCAUUAAGGUUAUACAUAAUAUUGGAAUUCAUUUUGAUAUCAUAUACAUGCAUAGACUAUAAUAUGAUAUCUUCUAAUAAGAUUAUUUGUAAAUAUAAUAGCAGUUGAUUUUUACACAUUGUUUUCUACUCUAUAACACUAUCCUAUUUUCUUUACUAUUGUAAAGACAUUUUGGAGCUAAUCUUAAAAUUCUAUAUACUAAGAAAUUCUUAUUCUGGCUUUAAUUUUUUUUAUUUUUUGAUAUUUUAAUCAAAGAAUAUCAAUGCUUUUUAGAUUUUUGGAAGUUCUUAAGGAACUUUUGUAAAUGUUUUGUAAGUACUUCAGCAGAAAUUGUAUUUACUAUUUGGGUUUUUGUGUUCAAUAUAUUUUAUUAAGUCAAAUUUUAUCUCUCCAAUCUCUCUAGAUUGUAAUGUAGUAAAAAUGAUCCCAAAUCUCAGUGGCUUACACAAUGAACAUUUAUUUCUGGUUCAUACUACAUGCCUUCUGUGGACUAUCUACAACUCUGCUUCUAAUAGCUCUAAGAGUUGAGUUUAGCUAGUUUGUCUUUAUUGACAUGAUGGUACAGUCAUAAUUAAAUCCACCACUAGCAAAUCAUUCUACUUAGGUAUAUUCAAUUUACAGGCAUGGGAUAUACAAAGACACUAAAGAUAAAAAUUUCUUCUAAUAAAAAACAUAGUCUAAUUUGCAGAAAGAUAAGUAAAUCAAUAUACAUGACUAUAAUGGUACACACACAAUGGAACACACACGUGAUGAAAACCUCAUUAAAACUAUACUCAUUAGGAAGGAGAGAUCACAUUAUCUCAUAAUUUUAAACCUUAUUUCAAAGAGAUUAGUACUGAAUAGAAUUAAAAAAGAAAUUCAAGAGUAUCAUAAUAGUAGUAACUAAGUUGUUAUAUAAAUUAAUAGUCCUUGAAAAGGAAUUCAAGGAUUUAAAUAUGGCUAACAUAAAGAGAGAAAUAUGAAUGUAGAGAUCUGGAAAUAUGGGCAGGGAUCAGACAACAGAAGAAUCUUUUUUUUAUCUUGAAAAAUAUGUGGGAUUUUUUGUUGUUGUUGUUGUUUGUUUAAGAUCAUGGAAAUCCUUUGAUUAAUAUUUAAGUAUGGGGAUUUAUGAGAUUUUAACUUUUGAGAUGUUUCUUUGGCUUUGGUGUAAUAAUCAAGUGGGUGUGAUUGCUUAGUGAGAAGUGACUAAAAUGGAAUCCUUUAUGGGCCCCAAUGGUAAUGGGAACACAGAUUUUUGUCUGUGAGCCUCUCAUGUUGUGGGAAACUCAGUUCCCUCCGCUUUCAUGUUCAUGGUAUUUAGUACAGACUUUCAAGGGGUAAGCAGGAGUGGGUAUGACUCAAGUGAAUGAAGUCCAGUUUUUCUUUGACAUCUGCCUCAUACUGAUAACUCUAUUUAUUAAAAUCAGUGCAAGCUUGCAAACUUCUAGUGGUAACCAUUUCCUGCAGUCUCACAAUAUGGACAACUAGAAAACUACUAAAUAUAAAUAGCAUAUGAGAAUGGAAUUAAGUAAAGCCAAAAAGAGAUAUAGAAUGUUCUAGUAACAUGGUAGAGAAUACUAACAAAAUCACUCCUCCUCCAAUUCAGAGACAUGUUGAAUAAAUUAUUUGUAUAAACAAGUAUUUUCAGAUAUAACCAAAAUUAUAAAAGUUUGUUUCAUUUUAUUCCUCAGGUGAGAAAAUUAUUUUAAAAUUUUCUCUAGGAAUUCAAUCAUAUAAAUCAGUUUGUUAAAAUAAAAUGUUAAAAAAUCCCCAAUACAGAAGCCAUGUUUGAUAUGGAGCAGUUGAUUAGUGAAUCAACCAUCACCAUAAAGAAAUGAUUAUUACUCUUAGAAGAGGAGAAUUCUCAUUCAGGAAAAUGGGAAGUCUCUUAACCCAACAGUGUUUCUUUAAAAAAAAUAUGGACGAAGAAAAACCAUGAUAUGAUGCUAUUAUCAUCUAUUAAAUAUCACUGCAAAUUCAGAAAAAAUAGAACACAUAUUUAUGGAAGUAAGCAAAGCAAAUGAAUAUACAAAGGGUAGAGAAGAAAUAGAUUGGUAUUUUUAGAUUCAGCAGAGACACAUCAAUUUAAGACAAGAGAAAAUGAAAAAAAAAAUAGUAGACAGACUGGAUGUACACUGAAACUUUUAGCUCCAAGAUAUCUAUGAUAAUUUGGCUAAUAUUUAUCUAUUAACUAACUUGCCAAAAUUUAUCCAUGGACUUUUCAUUUUAUAUGGUUGACUUAGACUUUCCUCUUUCACAUGAAUCUGUUUGGCUAUAUGUUAAUGAUUAAAACUAUCUAAAUUGAGGCAAAGCUUAUUGAGGAUAUACUUAUUAUAACGCUCUCUUAAAAAUGGGUCAUACAUGAUGUGUGAGGUUUAGGAGCAUGAAUUUAAGAUUAAAAAAUUGUAUUCAAAUUCUAAAACCAUUAUUUCACAGCUUAAGUGCAACUGUAAAAUGUGCCAUCUGCUCAGUCUGCAAUAUAUGUUUAAAUGCAUCACAUACGAUAUCUGAAAAUGUAAUAUAUGGUACAAUUCCAUGCAUUUGGGGUUGAAGAGGAAGGGCAAUUACAGGAACAAUGAUGCAACAUGAGAAUUUAGAUGCAUUUUUUUAAGAAGUAUAAUAUAAGCCAGAUUAAUUUUAUGAGGACACUGAAAAAAUAGUAUGUGAUCAUAGUUUAGACUGUCUCUAUCCCAAGAGCUACAGUUAAAUUUGCUCUUGGCAUUUAAAAAUAUACAUACUAUCCCUGGGAUAAAAAGUUGACAGUGUGCAAGUUUGAGCUAGACAGUUCAUAUUUUCAAGUUUUAAUCAACAUAUAGUAGAUUUAGUUGCACUUGAAAAUCUAGUUUCAAUUUUUGAACUUAUAUUGUCUAUUUUAUAUUUUUAUUUUUUUCAGAUAAACAGUACACUAGGAAAUUAAAAUUUCUAUCAGAUUUUUCCUUUUAUUGGUUCUUUUUAGUUAUACAUGACUGUAUAAUCCAUUUUUUAUAAUUUCAGCUUUUUGUUAACAAAAAUAUAAAUAAAACAGAAACUUCCAGUAAAUGCAAUGAACCACUUUCAUGCAUUCAGCAAAUGUUAAUUGAGCAUCAUCUCACAUGUGCCAGAGAAACAGGAAACAAAGCACAGUUGUAUAAAACUUUCAUGUCAUGAAAUUUACUUUAUACCAUAAUUGGUGGAAAGAACUCUUAACAAAUACAUGAUACACCAUGUAGUUGAUGUGUACUGUGAACUAAAUUAAAGUAAGUAAGGGGAUAGAAGGUGGUGAGGUAGGAAGUAGUAUUGUAGAUAGUAUUAAUUAGAAAGACUCUUCUGAUAAGGUGAUAAUUUGGCAGAUAUGUGAAUAAAGUGAGAUUGACAAAAUAAGAAAGAGUCCUAGACAGAGAGAACAUUCCACAAAUAUUUAUUGAUCUCAAUCCCAUUAGCUGCAUUAUUCUGGAAACAAUGUUUGUGAUCCAGUUUUGGAGACAAAAUUGGCACAUAUAAAGUAUGUGUUAUCACAAAUGACUGAGUAUAAUAGGUGAGAAAAUUUUACAUACUGAAGACUGUAGCAUUUCUUCAGGAUAAAGAACAAUCUUCCACCUUAGUUGUCUCAGAAAAAGUUUCAGACCUUUGAGAAAUCACUCUCUGAAGGCAUGACCUAUGUCUGCCAUUCAAGCUCAGCACAAGCAACUGUCACUUAGUAGGUACUCAAAGGAACUUUGAUGAAUGAGUAAAAUAAAUGGAACCAUCUCAUUAAAGGUAUAGCACAAGAGAGAUGAAGAAAUAAUAAACUAUACUUGAAAAUGGAAUCCCCAAAAUGAUGAAGUAUAAAAAAUGUAGAAAUUAUGUUACAUAUGUGGGAAGCACAGAGAUAAAUUAAAGAGAAAUGCUUUUUGGCAUUCAAUAUAUCCAUAUCUGAUCAUUAAAUAUUAAUACUAAAUUCAAAAUUAUUAUGAAGGUCAGAAUGAAUCUAUAUAUUUUGAAUUUAAUGUUAAAGGCAUAAAAUAUAGUAACACUUGGAAGAGAAUAUCAUAAGUUAAAUAGUCAAUUUUUUUUCUUAUUUUGAAAAAAAGAUAUCACACAGCCUUAAAUGCUUAUUCUAUUUCAUUAAUUAGAUAUACUUUCUGAGUAUCCAUUUGAAUUUUAAUUAAAAUUAAAAGUAUGGAAAAAAAUGAAGACUCAAAUUAAACUUUUUGUACUUUCUUGAACUAUUUCUCAGUACUUGUAACAAAACAAAACAAAAAAAUUUUAAGUGAUAGAUUCUAACUUACAAGACAAAUAUAAAUUGUCUUUCUCAUGUAUGAAAUCCAAAUUUCAUUUAAUUUAUGUUAUCUUUAUAUUUUAGCUUAUAUUAUAUACAUUAACCAUUACACAAUUUAUUUUCUUAACCAAACAUCAUUAUGUACCUCAAUAAAAAUUGCUAAAUGCAAAUGAUAGUACUUUUCUUGACUAUAUGAAAUCAAUUUUAUUUAAAACAAAAUCUUUUAACAUAAUUCAAAUAUCUUUUAUGGUACCAAGUAUAGUGUUUGAAAUUAGAUGUUCUUAAUAUGUUUGCAAUAUAACAUAAAGGUUAUAAUAUGCACAUGUGGUCAGAGUCUGAAAAUUUUAAAAGCUGUCUCUCAGGAUAUAUUAGAUAAGCCCGUUAUGAUUAUAAUAUUUGAAUUAUGCUUUUUAAACACUAGACCAUAAUAGUAUUAAAAUGAAACAUAAACUAUACAGAUGGUUCUUUACUUAGAGUUGGGAAAGCCUCACUGUCCAAACAUGAGAUAAUAGUUUGGUGGAUUUGAUUUGAAAAACAAAGAGGGCCAGUCCAUAUUUAUGAAAUUCUCUGCCCACUGUUGUAUAAUUAAAUAGUUGAGUAUUCUAGCUGAUUUCAGUUGUGACCUGCAAACAUAGGUGCAACUGGGAACUGGAGUAUAUUUAGUACUUUGGGAAAUUUUCAAGUAAAUUUCUUGUCCAUGUUUUAACUGACAACAGAAGAUAAAGAUUGUCAUAAGAAUGUCACUAUAAAUUAGAACUAUCUAUUGUUCUAAGUGCAGACUAGACAAGCUAGUACUGGAGUUUAAAGACACUUAAUCUCUGCAGGAGAGCAUAUUCUUUCUCUUCAUGUUGUAAAUUGUUUUACAUUUUCAUAUACAAAUUCUGGUAUCCAAGACCAGUAAAAUGAACAAUGUUAGGACUGUACUAUUUUAUCCAGGACAAUCAUUAGAAUUUAAGAACUUGGAAUUAAUAGAUGGAUGUAACAUCAUCUACUUUCUCAAAAAAUUAUACUUUUUCAUGUAAAAUAUUUAUGUAUAGGCAAUUUUGACCAGAAAGUGUUAUAAUCAAAAAUAUUAUUUAUAUUUUUAAGUACAAUGUUUUAGGAUAGUAGUCAAGUGGUACAUAUCAUUCUUUUCAUAAUCAAUUUAAUACUUUCAAUGAAAAGCAAUCUAGCAAGCUAAUUCCUUAAAUUAAAAAAAAGCAAAACAAAAAGCCUAAAUGGUGUAGAGCAAUCACUGCUUUGAAACUCAAAACUUUUACUUGGGUUUGGCUUAACAUAAUACAUAAAAACUCAAAACUAUUUUUUUUCCUGGGGAAUUCAGAAAAAUCAUAACUAUUUCAAAAACUUAUAGUAAAGAAAUGACAGUAAAUACACCCAAACACCAAAUAACUACAGAGCUGAAAUUCUGAAUUAGAAAACUUUUCUUUAAAAAAAAUCAGUACAUUCUUAUGAAGAUUAUGCCUGAAAUACAAGUAUUGACAAGGGAAAAUUGUUUUCUAAACCUAAGAAGAUAGCAACCAUUAAUUUAACUCACCCUCCUAUACAUUAUUGCCCAAAUAAAGAAGUAAUUAGCUUCAGUAAUAUGAAAUAAAAAUGUAGAAAUUCUCUUAACAGUGCUUAAACAGACUUUAAAAAUAUAUCUGAAGAUUUCAUAUUUUAUUAGAAAAAAAUGACAUUGACAAAAAUAAUAGCAAGAAUCUGAAUAUAAUUGGAAUAAGGUAUUAUUUUUUGAGUGUAUUGAAUAUCAUGUUGCUUUUGUUGAGUAUAAGAAAGAAUGAUUGAGAAAUAAUCUAUAAAUGCUUGUGAUUAGAGAAAAGAUGUCAGAAUGUCACAGGCACUGAAAUGGUAAUGAGGGUGGAAAAAAAUGAAUUAAAUCUCACUUUUACUGCUUUACUUAAAGAUUGAUUUCUGAAAGUUUUUAUUUGACAUAGAUCUGCCUUAUACAGUUUUGAAAGCAUCUGACAUUUUCUCUAACUUGAAGUACAACAUUUAAAAAAUAUUUUUCCCCAAUGAAAUCACAUAUAUAAUUAUUUUAUAUAAAAUAAUAGCUUCAUGGAUAAACUUAACACAUUCAAUAUGCAAAAAUAAAUUAUGUAAUGAAGAAAACAAAAUUAACGUUUAAAAUGUGUUAUUAAAAUGUUUAAGAAUGCUAACUAUUUUAUUCUUUUAAUUAAAAAGGAGUGCUCUAAAUUUUAUCAUUGAGACCCAAGGAACCUAAUGUUUAUGUACAUUAUGUCAAACGCUAAAGGUUAGUUGAAAUAUUAUAUUGUGAAUAGCAAGGAGUAAUUUACACUAAGAAACAUCUUUGGUAAUAACACAUCUAAUUUACUACAUAAUUUAAUACAUCUAAAUCUAGUAGUAAUUUCUGAAAUCAAUUUAACAAAACAAAUGAAAAAUUCUUUGUGACUUUACCAAAUGCAUUUUAUAGAGCUGUUCAGUUUUAUUGAAACAGCCAAAUUAUUAAAGAUUUGAAUUAGCCAAUUUAUUUCUUUGUUUAGAAUCUGAAUGCAUGAUUUUUUUUCUUACUAAUUGUUUUUGAUGAAUUUCCAAAGCCUUGGGGGAAAAAAAGCUUUUACUUUCAAUCUUUAUUUUGAAUAAAAUUAUUUUCAUGUCAAUUAAUCUCUUGGUACAGUCAUCACAGCAGGAAAAAGUUCUGAUUUGCGUUUACAGAAGACAAAACAGAGAAGCCAAAUACUAGCUUUGGGGUGCAUGCAUGAAUUAUUUCAUUCAUUCAUUUUCCAAUCAAUCAAAACAUUAAUAGUACAUAUCAGAUCCUGUCCUGUCUUUCAGGAGUACAGAAAUAAAUUGGGAAAAGUUUUGGUCUGAAAAGAAGGAAAAAAAAAAGAUCUUCUCAAGAGUAGGAAAUUCAUGUUUAAAAACAAGUUACAAUACUAUUGUAUAGUUGUAAAUAAGCUAUGUUAAUGUGAAUAUAAUCUAGAUACAGGAAUAAGGUGUUUUUCCCUUGCCCCCUCAAAAAAAAAAACCUCAGCUUUAUCUGUGGAAUAAGUCUACCUAAAUGAAAAUAUCCAUUUAAGAAAAAUUACCAUAGAUGCCACACAUUAGUACUAACAAAGAAUGACUACAUUUUAUUGAGUACUCAUUGAGUGCCAAAUUUUCCACUGGGAACUUUAAAUGUAUCCUUAUAGUUCUAUGAGUAAGGUACUCCUAUUAAACUCUUUUUCCUACCACAUUAAGGGUAAUAAAGAGAGAUUUGGUACUGUGAUCUUUGUAACACAGUAAAAGGUAGAACUCAGAUUUGAAAGCUCAAGCAAUCUGGGUGCAGAGCCCCUGUGUUUAACUAAUACACAAUACAGAGAAACUUUACCCAUUCGGUAUAGAAAUAGAAAAAAAGGAAAAUAAAUGGGAAUUUUCUUUUGACAUGGCAUAGUUAGAAGAACCAGAUAACUUUAUAUAAAGUGAUUAAUUUAUAAGUUACUAUUCAGAGUUGUUAAAGAUAUCUACCACAUAAUCUCCCAAAGCUAAACUUUUAUUCAAUCAGCAUGUAUUUAUUGAACACUUGAAAUAUUCCAGGCAUUGUUCUGGGCUUCUGGGAAUCACGGAACAAAAACAGGUAGGCUUUCUUGCCUUUUUCAAGUUUAUAUUAUAGGAAGCUCCUAUUCUAGUUAGUUUGUAUUAAAAACAACAACAACAACAAAAAAAAACAUGACUGACAAUGUUCAAAAUGAUUUAUUUGAUACAAUAUUUCUACUAUAUAAAUAUUCUAAAAUUAUUAAAGAGGCCUGGAGCAGAAAAGAGACAUCACAGGCUAGUGUAGAAUUUUUCUUAGCAACCAUCACUUAGAGUUAGUAAUAGUUUCCCAUAUCUUUGGGAUAACUAUUAAAUUUGAUGUAUCCAUUUGCCACAUUGGUAAUUUUACAAAUAUGAAGCAUUAUAAAAUUUUGAAGACACAAAUCUCUGAGUUUUAUCCCCCAAAUUGCUGCCCAGCAACUCUUUAAAGCCAUCUAUUAUUUAUCAUCAACUAAUCAAUCAAGGGUGUUAGUUGCCCAUCUGUACACAUGUAUAUCUUGUCCCCUUAUUUUCAUUUACCUGUUGUGUCUUGUUGCUCUCAGACAUUGAGAACUGUCUAUUCUGAUAAUAAAACCAUCAUAACAAUGAAUGACAACACAUAAGUGCUCGUAAAGCUGGGUAGAUGAUCAAAUUUCAAUAAUUGAACAUUGAUAUAGUUUGUGUAUUGGCGUUUAAUAUUAAAGUCGAGUUCUCAGAAAUCUUUUGUAGUUGUUGUUUUAUUGCUCUUUAAAAACCAGAAGAACUGAUGUGAGUCUGUUUGACCCUGGGCUUCCUUUUAGGCAACAAUGACUGUAAACCCUAGGUUGGUCACCAACAAUAAUCCUUAAUUCAUGCUAUUCUACAGAGCCAUAAGGUGCCACUUAUUUCUGAGUUCCAGAAUAAUUGGAUAUCUGGUAUUAUGAUAAAACCAGAAGAGCUGUAUGUGUUUUUCUGAGUUGACUGAACAAUCCCUUGUGGAAGAGAAUAUGUCACCUCUAAUUUCCUAUUCCUAAAAAUAAUUUUCAUAACCUUUAUUUUAUUUUACCAUUCAUUCUGACAUAAGAUUUGUUGUUGUUGUUGUUUCUACAAUAAUUUGGAGUGAGUUUAUGAGAGGCUAGAGUGACAGAAUAUUCUAUGAGUUCACACACACACACACACACAAAACAUUCAUUGCAUAUAAUUUAAUUGAGGAAAAUAUCCAACCUGACAUUAAGUAAACUUUACUGAUUUUUCCAAACAUACCCAUAAAUCCUGGAGGUGAAUUACCAUAAUAUUAUGUAUAUGUCACAAAUUUCUUCUAACAUACAGGAAAAGAGAUAAAGUGUCACCCUUGUGUUAAUUUAUCUAUAGAAUAUACAACAUGUCAAAUUGAGUCCUGGGAAAAAGUAACUUUACAAAUUAAUAAAAGACUAUAUAUAUAAGACACACAAGCACAUAUAACAAUACGUGUCUAUACAUAUACAUAUAUAUGUGUGUGUGUAUAUAUGUAUGUAUGUAUGUGUGUGUGUAUAUAUAUAUAUAUAUAUAUAUAUAUAUAUAUAUAUAUAUAUAUGUAUAUGUAUAUAAAGUGUGUCCCUGGUACAGGAGAAGUCUCUGUCAGGGAAGUAUGUGCCAAAUAAACCAAUUUAAAUUCAGCCAGUCAGCAAACAGGAAAAUCUGUCAAUUUGCAAGUGUAUAUUUUGCUUUCCUUGGACAAACAAUGCUCUUCGUCUGUUAUAAAUGACAUUACUUAACUUGACAUAACAAGGAGCUUUAUACAAGGCUCUUAGCAGAAGAAGCAUUUCUUUGAUUAGCUUGAAGAAUAGAAACAAGGUAAAAUGGAUAAAAAUAAGCAAAAAUCCCCACUUAGAAUAAUACACAGGAAAUAUUGUGAGGGAUGAAGAGAGAAAGAAAUCAUGUGUCUGUCUUAAUCUAGUCUGACCUACAAAAAAACCGAAUGUGGCUAUUUUGGGGGAAAUCUUACCCUUGAAGACAAAAACGUAGGAGAUGUAUUAAUUGGCUAUCAAAUAAUUUUAUAAAAUUUAUCUCUAAAGUUAUCACAGAUACAUUAAACAAGAAAGGUUUUAUAGAUUCAUCUUGAAAAAUAAAUUGAAUCUUUAAAAAGUAUGAAUUAACUUUUAUUAUUUACUAUAUACCAGACAAUAUAAUUAAUAUUUUAAUGUAAAAUUCUCACAAAAAUCCUAUGUGUACUAUUCUUAAACUCAUUAUUAAGGUAAGAAAUUUAAUACAUAUAAAAGUUUUCGAUUGCCAUUAUCAUAGAGAUAGCAAUUCACACAGCCUGGUAGUCUGUAAACAUCUCACUUUUAAUCAGAAUAUGAACUCAAAUCUUCGAGACACAGCUGUUCUUUAUCAUUAUUAUUACAAAACUGAUGUUCAAGGUUUUUAUCAUACUUUUCUUUAAAACUUUUUUUUAGCUUGAUAUAAGCCUCUCCUUAAAAUUUUCUUCUCAUAUUUCAAUAAACACUUCUUGUUACAAAAAAAUUGAGGGACAGCUCUUUACAUUUUGGGAGACUUACCAUGUGGGAUGAUCCUGAUGAGGCUGCCCAUCAGUGGACAUUAUUUACUGAUAAUCUAAAAUGGAAUUCCCAUAGAAUCCCAUGUUAUGUUCACAUUAAAAUCAAAUGAGCUCAUUCUGAUAAAUGGAGCAACACUGAAAUACCAAAGAAAUUAAUGGCAAUUAUCUACUCAUUGUAAAGGACGGCUCAUAAUUAUUGCUAUUAUACACACAAAAAAGUACAUUUAAACAAUUAUCAUCAUGCAUGCAUGCAUUUGGUACCAUUAGAAUGCUGAUCAAGAUGGGUUCAUUUGGCAAUCACAACCAGAACACAACUCCACCAAUUAUCUGUGGUUCAGAUUUGAGAAAAGAACAAUUGAGUAUGUUCUUGCAAUUUUGUUAAAAUAUUCAUAAAACAAUUUUAUUUCAUGAAAAAUCAUUUUAAAGUCUGAUGACAAAUUGUAUACGGUUGUCUUUUAUUAGGGUAGGGCAGUUUUACAGUUACAAGCCUUAAAAACUAAAUAUAAACUCUAAAAUAUUCAAAUGUUGUAUCAUUGAUUGUGAUGAACAUUCAUUUAAAAUUCUGUGUAAUUUUGGGUAGAAGUAUCUAAUGGUGUGAAAAAAUAUGACAAAAAUGAAUGUGUGGAACAUAUAUAUUGACAAGUACAUUCUUUGUUUUUAAAUUUUUUUUUUAGAGAGAAUUUUUUUUAAUGUUUAUUUUUUAGUUUUCGGCGGACACAACAUCUUUGUUUGUUUGUGGUGCUGAGGAUCGAACCCGGGCCGCACGCAUGGCAGGCGAGCGCGCUACUGCUUGAGCCACAUCCCCAGCCCGACAAGUACAUUCUAAACAAAUAUUUUAAGGAAAUAGAUUUAUAUAUUUGGUAACUUUUCUUUUAAAAAUCUUGAUGAAGAUGAUGAGUUAAAUUCAGUACUCUCCUCUUAUCUGCUCUUUACCCUCCACAGUUUCAGUUGCUUUCAGUUAUUAGUUACCUGGGGUCCAAAAUAUUAAAUGGAAAAUUCUAGAAUGCAUAAUUCAUAUUUUAAGUUGCACAUCAUUCUGAGUAGUGUAGUCAAAUCAGACAUCAUUCCACUGUGCUCCACACAGGAUGAAAAUCAUUCCUUUGUCCAAGUAUCUAUUCUGUACUCCCUACCUUUAAGUCACUUCUAGCCAUCUUUAUUAUCAGAUUAUCCAUCAUGAUGUCAUAGUGCUAUUGUUCAAGUAACCAUUAUGUAGUAGCUACUGUUAGGUUACAUUGCCUACUUCCCCUUAUUUCAUCACACAGGCAUGGUAUCAUCUCACAUCAUCAAAAAUUAAAGGGUGUUUACAGUACUCUAAGAUAGUUUGAGAUAAAGACCACAUUCACAAAACUUGUUACAGUGUAGUGUUACAACUAUUCUAUUUUAUUAUUAGUUGUUGUUUUUAUUCUCUUACUCUGCCUAAAUUAUAAAUUAAACUUUAUCAUAGUUAUAUAGGCAUAGGAAAAUCCAUAGUAUAUAAAACAUGGGCUUCAGUAUUAACUGCAGUUUUAGGCACCCACUGGGGACUGUGGAAUGUAAGUCUCAUAGAUAAGGAAGGUGAUAGUGUUGCAUUAGUCAGCUUUUCAUCGCUGUGCCCAAAAUAUCUGACAAGAACAAUCUAGAGGAAGAAAAGCUUAUUUUGGCCUCACGAUUUCAGAAUUAGCUGACUUCACUGCUCUGGUCCCAAGGCAAGGCACAACAUCAGGGCGGAAGGCAGUGGCAGAUGAAAACUACUCAGCUCAUCGUGGCCAGAAAUCAGGGACAACAUAUAAUCACCAAGAGAACACCCUCGGUGACCCACUUCCUCUAACCAUGCCCCACCUGCCUAAUUACCACCCAAUAAUCCAUUCAAAUGAUUAAUACAUCAAAUGAAUGAAUCCACUAAUUAUGUUAUAGCUCUCAUAAGCGAAUGAUUCCCAUCUCUGAACAUUCCUUCUUUGUCUAACACAUGAACUUUUUGUGGGAUUACUAAUAUUCAAACCUUAACAUCGUAGAGCUAUCAUCUCUUCUCAGUUAAGUAAAUGUAGUUGGAAACACAUCACGUGAAAUUUACCCCAAAGGUAAAUUAAAAGCCAUAUUAGCACACUUUUGUACAGCAGAUCUCUAGAACUAAUGUAGGCAAAUUUUAGUUCUGAAAAGUUUAUAUAUUCUUUGUUGCAUAAUUUAUUGACUUUUCUAGUGGAAUGUUUGUUAGAGAUAUUAUUGAGGAUGAAGUUUUUAAUCAAUACACCCACUUACAAAUCAUGAACAGCAAGAAGUGAAGCCUGGGCAUCAUUUAAAAGAUAAAGUCCUAAGGUUUACAGGGUUUAACAUGCACCACAAAGUUCAUUUUAAUGAGUCUCCAUCACAAGCGAAAAUCCGGCAGUUCCAUUUUGCUUUCCUCAAAUCAUUAUUGACAAAAGAAACUACUCUGUGGCACCAAACAGACCUGUAUUUGCUGAGUAACCUGACUCUUCUAGCACAGUGUUAUUUCUGAAUGUGACACAAUCUUCACUACAGCAAUUUGAAAACUUCUGAUGUCUUUUAAGCCAGGAAUAUUCCUAUGAGGAUUCUGUGCUCACUGAAAAGCUCUAUUUGUUCUCAUUUUAAAUGAUGAAUCUGUUGGCUCUUCAGCAGAAAGAAGAAGGUUAAUAGUUGUAUCACUCAUUGCCCUGAAAACUUUGGGACUAAGAAAAAAAAGUUAAAUAAAAUGUCCCACAGGAAAAUUAAAUGUUAUUUAUUUAUGUAUUUUAACAACACUGAAGAAUGCAUUUAGAGUUAAGCAGGUUGAUUUGUUUUUAUACUAGUCAGGGAUAGGUGGGGGAAGUAUAGAGACUUUUAAAAAAUUAAGAAAAUUUCUGCGACCAUUAAUGUAAAAACCCCACUAUGUUUUAAAGUUUCUAUUUGCAGGAAUCAAAGAUAAUUUGUGCUACAUAUUACUUGUUUUAUAUUAUUCCAUUCUACAAAUAACUUGUAGUUCUGUAGAAUCCUGGUGGGCAGGUGGGUUCUGGAGAAGGCCAUCCACAUCUGAAAGGCACUCCUACCUCUUUCUGAGGGUCUCCUGGCAAAGUAAUUAAUAUUUCUGAGACUCAGUUUUCUCACCUAUAAAAUGAGAAAAGAGGGGCUGGGGAUGUGGCUCAAGCGGUAGCGCGCUCGCCUGCCAUGCGUGCAACCCGGGUUCAAUCCUCAGCACCACAUACAAACAAAGAUGUUGUGUCCGCCGAAAACUAAAAAAUAAACAUUAAAAAUUCUCUCUCUCUCUCUCUCUCCCUCCCUUUCUCACUCUAUCUUAAAAAAAAAAAAAAGAUACAAUAGUUUUUCUUACUCAGAGAUUUCUAUUUACAUGCUGUGUGAGUAUAGCUACUCUGUCAUGGAAAACAGGGAGGCAUGAUAGAGCUGCAGGGCACAGCUCUAUUUGUGAGAGCUGUAGGGAUAUUUUGAGGAAUUGGGGCUUCAUUCUGACUGGGAAGGAAACCCCCUACAGGGGUUUGAACCUGAUCAUAGUUGCUUCUUGCAUGAUAUGUGAGUUCAUUUGGUUCUUUUCCCAUCCCAUACUGCAACUUCAGAUCUGCUUUCUAAUUGAUCUCCUAUAAGCAUGACACAGUUGAUUUGGGUUAUCUGCUACCCCAGUGUUCUGCCAAGCACAUAAUAAACUGUUUAGUAAAAUCACACUUUCAUGCAAGAUAAUCUGCCUAUUUGUUCACAAAGUGGAUGCUUCUUUUAUGUCACCACAUUUGUGCUCUUCAUUUGUUAUUUAUUUUGCAUUUGAUAUUCAUGUGGAGUCAUACCAAAUUUUAAAUAAUCCAACAAAUCCUACUUGUAUGUAUAUUUUUCAUGAGUAAGCUUAUUUUUACAAGAAGCUACUAAUUAUUCUGGCUGACGUUCAGGAUUUGGAAGUCUACUUGAAAGACAAAGACAAAUUUUCAUUGAGAAACUAUGUUCGAUUCAUGUUAAGGGUCAUGUUUGAAUGUAUGUUGAAGGAAAGAAAAAAAAAUCAGAACAUUUUCUAUUAUCUAUAGGAUCUUACUUUAAAUGUACUUAUUUUGACACAAAAUUUUAUAUGAUGGAAAGGAUCAUUUGUCAAAAUGUUUUCCCUUGCAUGUUAUUAUUCCUGUUAUAUUCCAAAUGAUUGUGCCAAUCAUUUUGCUGAACAAUUUGUGGUUUUGUUUCCUAUGAAAAGAUAUUCUAUUACGAAUGUGUUAUAUCAUUUAUUUAUGCUUUGAAUCUUAUAAAACAAUAUAUUAUAAUAUUCUCCACUCUUCACUUUCAUUAUUGAUCAAAAUGAGAAAAAUAUGAAUUUGAUUUCAAAUCAAUGAUUACAACAUGUCCUUUCUAGACACAUGGCAGGUUGAGCAUUAUCAAAACUAUCUUUUGUUUAUUGUAUAUAUUUUCAUGUUGCCUUGUUCAGUGUGGAUUUAAUAGAUAUAGAAUAGUGAUUUUUAAAUCUUUAAAUAAAAUUUAAAAGUAAUUUAAAUGUAAAUGAUAAAAAUUAUAAAGAACAGAUAAAGAAAUUGCAGAUUAAUUAGGGUAAAGGAGAAAUUUUUAUUGUGUAUAAUCAUUUAGUUGGAGGUAAUAAGAGCAAUAACUUCACUGGACUGCUAUAAGGAAUUUAAAUUUAAUUCCUCAUAUAAAAUGCAUUGCAUGUUGCUAAUAAAAUGAAACAUAAUAUCAUUUGUGAUAAGAUGACAAAAAUAAAAUCAUAACAUGAUAAUGAGAAUUUUUAUAAAUCAAAUAGAAAUUUCUCUUUAAGUCAUUGAUUUUUGUUAGUUUUUUUUUUUUAAACAACUUUCCUAUGAAUUUAAAACUCCUUUAUCUUUGUCCUCAGGGUGACUCUAAUAAUUUUGUAGAGAGCUGCCAAAAUUUAGUUAUUGUUCUGUUAAUCAUUGCUAAUAAGAACAGAGAAUUUUCUGGAUGUCCCAGGAAAAUUAUACUAAUUAGAAAUGUCUGCAUUUGUGCAUCUCCUUAGAGAUUAAUUUAUUCAUCAUAAUCAGUUAAUCACUUUUCUUUACAUAAUUAGAUAGCUUGUGAUGGAGAGGAAGACCCUUAGUUCUCUAAAAAUGUAUAAGACUAUUUUAGCUGACACUAGGGAAACUGGAAAGACCUUUUUAGUAUGUAUCAUCCACAACAGCAUACUGAUUAGUGCUGGUACCAUUGUUCUCCCAAAUAAGAAUGGAUUUCAAAAAAUAUUCAGGAAAUUGACUCUGGAAAAAUCCCAUGUUUAUACUGAUGGGCAGUACUUUUUAUUUUAUGAAUUAUUCAAUAACUAAAUUAAUAGAGACUCUUUAUAAAUACAAUCAGUUUCUAUUACUUUCCUUAUUCAGCCCAACAAGGUAAAUCCCUCCAAAUUAUAUCUGAAGGAGAACAAUAUCACUACUGAAUUUUUCUCCUUGUUCCUUCACUACUGAAUUUUUCUCCUUGUUCCUUAAAGAAGGAAAGAAAAGGGGAGUCAUAUAUUUAAAGUUGAGUAAAUUUUCACGCUCUGUGUAUCUCUCUCUCUCUCUCUCUCUCUCUCUCUCUAUAUAUAUAUAUAUAUAUAUAUAUAUAUAUAAAGCCAAAAAAUAGAAUAAAAAGGAAUAAUACAACCAAAUCAGCAAUCAUUGUUUUAUUAGAACACACGUUAUUAGUGUUUGGCAAGGACAAUCAGUAUCAUGUAAUCCAAAAUAUCAUUUUGUAAAUUAACCAAAUUAAUGGGAAAAAACCUUCUUUCUGAGUACUUCAUUUAAAAAGACCACUAAAAUAUAGAUUCCAGGGGAAAAAAAUUCAACCCAAAUGUAUGAACUGAAAAGCAAGAAAAAAUAAAUAUUCAAAGAUUUUGAUAAAAAAUGAGGCAUAUCUAGAUAUUUAUCUCUUAAAGAGUUUGAAAAUUUUGGCUAAAAUAGGAUAUGGAAGUGAUAUCUCACUAAAAUAUUGGAAGAUCAUAAGUAAAUUUGGGAGAUCAGGGGGCAUAAAAUUUUUAAAGCAUUAUCUGCUCAUUUCAUAGUCUUGGAGGAGGGCAGAAUUACUGAAAAUAAUUGAAUGUUUGCAAAAUAUUUAAAAUUCCCUUACUCAAAUGAAUAUAUUCAAUCCUUAUAUUUUUCCCACAAAUUUUCAUCAAAUAUUAACAAAUAUUUACUAUUUUAGUCCUUUUCUAUAUUAUUAAAUUAAUUCUUUAAACAUUUUGAUAUUUUAACAUUUAAUAUUCAUUAAUAAUAAUAAUGUAUAAAACACACAAAAGACAUUCUAGGUAUUUCCAUUCAUUAAUAUAAUACAUACACAAUUUAAAAACACCCUUUUUUAAAUCUAAGGGAUACUAUGAUGUUAAAGUAUUUAUUGUUUCACAUAUUUUAACAAAUUUGUAGAGAUAAUAUGUGAAUAUUAUUGUCUCUAUAUUAGCCUAAUGUAUUGUUUCUGUUUUUUAGGGUGACUUUAAAAUUACAAACAUAUUAUUAUUAUUAUAGAAUAUUAAUUAUGUAUCUUGUAUUUAGCAAUUUUAAUUUUAUGAGUCAUAACAUUUAAAUUAUUAUUCUCUUUCCAGGCAAAAGAACAGGUAUAACUUAAGAUUUUUCAUAUUAAUGUUGAUAAAAUUUAACACCGUCUAAAGUUGAAAUGAAAAGGAAAAAAAUCCUUUCUCUCUCUAUCAAAAUGAAUUCCUGACAUUUCUGAUCAUUGUCAUCACAGAGUCUUGAACAAACUAGAACAAUACUACUGUGUGCUAGAAAUGAAUAUGAAAUGUGAGGUGAAAAUGUGUUUGUUAAUAAAUGAUUAGUCUAGUAUUUUAAAUACUCUUUCAUCAUAGCCCUAUUUCAUUAUGGCCCACAGUUUGCUUGCUAAAUGUUUCAUAGUUAUGGUAGCACAAAUAGUUAUUUAAGAAAAUAUAUAGUCCUUAGGUAAAUUCUUUGUCAUAUGCUUUUCUACUAAUAGAUGAUAACAAAUAACAAUGAUUCCUAAAACAGCAUUUACUCUAUGCCAAGUACUCCACUUUAUAUGUAAUUUAUAUACUUUACUUGGUCUUUACAACAACUCUCUGACAUAAUUUCAAUUUUAUAGAUCAGGGAACUGACUCUCAUAGUAUUUAAUUGUGUUGGAUCUGGGACAGAAAAUCAGUCCUUUCUGAUUCCAAGGCCUAUGCGCUGAACCACCAGCUUAUAUUGCAUUCCACAAGUAAUAGAAAACAAAUUAUUUUUAAAAAAUAGAAAAAGUUCAAGAAUAAUUCCUAAAAGUCAAAAGAAGGGUUGGUACUAUAGAAUACCUAGAAAUACAAAUUUAAGACUAAUUUAAAGGACAAAAUCUGAUAAGAAGCCUUGAUACUGUAAAUAAUAACACAGAUCAAAUGUCAUUUCAGAGAUGCUUAGCCAUUGUACUCUAAGAUCAGGCAUGUGUUUCUCAUGCCAGGAGUCAGGAUCAAUAUGACUAAGGACUGCCAAGAAUUUUUUUUUCCCUGAGAUAAACCAACAGUGUUAACCUGAAGCUAAAGACAGGUACUACUAUCAUUGGAUACGACCUAUGAAAGAAGCAUUAGAGUCUUCAGCUAGGAGGAAAGGCUGACUGAAAAUCCUCAUUGUCAUAUGAAGUGAUUUUAUAUAUGACUCCUUCUUCUGAUGGAUUUUUUUUUUACUCAGAAAAAGAAUAGCUCAAAAUUAAUAAGUAAAGACUAAGGAUCUUUCACUGGUGACUCAAGUAAUUUGUGGCAGAUUAGAAUUAGAGGUCAAUCAGAAUAUCACUCAUUAAAAUAUAAUUUUGUUUUAUUGACUGAAAUAGUCCUUCAUUAUUUGUCUCCCAGCAUACAUCACCUUUUCUGGACCCAGAGAGCCUCUAGGUGGGCACUGGGGACGAUGCCACCUUCUUUUCACUUUAGUCUAUGGUCUUGUAAGUUUACUCUCCAGUCAAGUCCCAGAAAAUGAGAGUAUGAUCUGGUCUAUGAUGUCAAAAUAUCACCUUCCAGAUGCCUAAAAGUAAUCUCGGGUUUUGUCAAAAACAGAAAUUCCUAUCACUUUUCCACUAAAUGUGAAGCUAUGUCUAAUCUCUGCAGCUACUGGAAGCCAUGAUGCUACCCUAGAAAGACAGAGGAACUUGCCAAAGAAAGUCAGUUUAAACUUGUCUCCAACUACACUGAAUCUUCAUCUCUCUAAAACUUUUCAAACUAAGUACGUCAAUUAAUUUCCCCCCUUUUGCUUUUAUACCUACUUAAACAUUUUAGGCAAAUUUUAUAAUGUUGUUCCCAAGAAUGGUUAAUAUUUUCAAUUUAUGCUUAACUUUCUUUUCAUAUAUCUUUAGUGAGGAAUCAUUUUCUAAGGAAUUUAUCCUCUUCACUCCCUUCUUUCUCCAUCCCUUUCAUUCCCCCUCUGUGUUUCUUUCACUUAUUCAUUCAUAUAUUCCUUUGAAAAUGUAUCAUAUUUAUUGUUUAGCUUAUAUCAUUGUGGCACUUCUCCAAGCACUCACAAGGCUACAAAGAUGUCUGGGCCAUCAAUUACAGCCAGCUCAUGAUUUGAGAAAGUGAAUACAAUAUCUCACUCUACAAAUAGAAGUAGGUCCAGAAACACACACACACACACACACAAAAUGCAGAUUAAAUAAAGAAAUAAAAAAAUGUAGAUGAAAUAAAUAAAUAAUUAGAGAUAAGGUAACAUUGAUCUGGACCAUAAGAAUCAUGCAUGAUUUGUAAAUGUAUGAAGUUUUGAGGGAAGGCAUUUCAGGCAGACAAAACAUGUGAAGAAAAUCAUGCAGCACAUAGCAGGAAAAAUGGGAUUUUUUUGAGGAAAAACAAAUAUUUCAUUGUGCCUACUCACAUUGGCUAGAAUUUUAUGUCAAGUUCAAGUCAGUAUUGUGGUACAUCCAAAUAAACGGAAAUGGCUUAUUUCCUCCCUUUGGCAGUUGACCAUGAAUAAGGUUUUAAGUGAAAAAAAAAUGCUAUCUACUACUUAAGAGUCAUUUGCCUUGAAGACAAUUUUUCAAUGUGAGCAGAUGAUUAUUCCUUUUAAAAUCGACCAAAUAUUGCAACAAAAUAGAUUAUGGUUGUUUAUUAUACAAAUUUAAAACUUGAUUUUGGGUUUUCACAGUAGUGGUUGCCUUAUUCCUCUAGAAGAUAAAUCCUCUACUAGAAAAUCUUAGUUCAGUUCAUGAGGAAUGACUUGGAACAACCACUGUAUAAUCAUGAUGGCCACUGGGAGUGGUGGGCAGUUUGGAAGUAAUUUAAGAUAAGCAGUUAAUUUGGACAAUGUCCUUGAAAUGUUACUUUUACUGACCAGUUACACAGAACUCUAAUAUGUCCGAUGUCCAGGACACCAUUUCCCUAAGGAAAGUAAUAUGUCCUAUGUAAUUGAGCCAUAUGCAAAUGGCUACGUUCAGGAGCACAGGGAGUCUGUGCUUGGCAGUCUGAGUUGUCUAAAAAUCACAGAAGCAUUGGCUCUCUGAGAGGUGGAACAUUAGCUGUCAUUUGUGGCUUAUGCUUGACUACGUUCAGUAACUCUGCUGUCUAAUAUAAUUACCCUUAGCCACAAAUUUAAAAUUAAAUUUAUAUUAAUUUAGUUCCUUAGUCACACUACUCAUAUUUCAAACACCCAGUACCUAUAUGUUGAUGGUGACUCAUGGUUAGAAGCACAGAUGAAGAAUACUGAAUUUUUAAUUUGAUAGUAUUGUUCCAUAACACCCCAACAACGUGCUUUGAAAAGUAUUCCUGUACAUGAAAUGCACCAUUCAUUUUGAGGGUAAUGCCUCCAAUUUGGAAAGAAAGUCUCUCUUCUUGGUGCUUAUUAUUCUGCAUUCCUAAUAAGGUUCCCUAUGUAUUAAUCCUGUCUUUCAAUGCUCAGCUCUUCAUAAGACCAAGUUUAUAGUCUUUUCUACAAUGUGCUUAGAUCUUCAACACAAUAUGUAUUCACCAAGUUCAGCUUCUUUAGACACCAAAUGCAAAAGAACAUGCAUUCAUGGCAAUUUCAGAAUGAAAAAUAUAAUAGAAACUUAGGCAUAAUUAUCCUUAUUUCAACACCAUAAAUUGCACAUUGGUACCAAAAAUGUUUUUGAACAUGAACCCUUUUUAAAAAUGAUAGGUCAUAACUAUAAAAAUAAUAGGCUAUAUAAGAUCAAAAUAUGAUUAUGGCUGUUUAUUAAACAAAUUUAAAACUUGGGUGAGCCAGCACAAAUGUUAUUAGUAUAGUGACCCCUGUAUCAUGGAUACUCAACAGAUGUUGCAUGAACUGAAUUAACAAAGUAAUAAAGUGAUAUAAGAGGUUGACUUAUUAUAAUUUUUUCUAUACUUGUCAUGCCUGACAAUCAAGACCUUAGAGCUCAAAUUCAAACUCAUAUUCUAAUUGCAAUUAGAGAUAUUUAGUAAGCUCAAAGCUGGAAGAAGUUUAAAAUGUAUUAAAGGGUAUAUUUUAAGAAAGUGGCUUCACCAAUCAACUUCAAAAAGAGUAAUUUUGCUAGUUAACUAUGUCAACUCUAUAAACUACUAUAUCCCAUGACUCAUGGGCCUACUUGACAUAUUUUGCCUUAAGUUGGGAUGAAUCUUGAACAUCUCUGUUUUGCGCAAGGAGUAAUUUUUUUCCCCUUUGGCUUCUUUUCAGACAUUUCAAGAUUAAAAUAAAUAUUAUAAUGCUUUUCAUAACAAAUAAAUAUGAGUUAGGAAAUAUUGUUUAUCUCAGUUUAAAAGCAAUGAUAAAUUUUAUACUAUGACACUAAAUAAAUUUUGAUUCAUUUAUUUGUAUCUCCAUUCAUUUGUCUAAUUCUUUUCCAGAAAAUAAACAGCUGAAGGCAAAAAAAACUCUUUAUAAUUUACAGCUCUAUUAUCAACAUAAUGUAUGUCAUAUAUAACGUAACUAAUUAACACUUACUUUUGAUAUGCUGAGUGUAGAAAUUUGGAGUAGCUAGAAUGCAUUGGGACUUAGAUCUUAAUCUACUGAUUUUGCCAUAGCCGGCAUAAUCCAACAAUGAUUUCUUUGAUAUGAUGCCAAAAACACAAGUAACUAAAGCAGACAUAGAUAGGAAUACAUCACACUAAAAAGGCUAUAAAGAUCAAAGAAAACAAUAAAAAGAAAAGGCACCUAUGGGAAAGAAGAAAAUAUUUUCAAAAUAUAUCUGAUAAGUUGUUGAUUUCUAAACUAUGUAAUAUACUCCUACAAUUCAUUACCAAAAAAUAAUAACUCAAUAAAAAUGAACAAAAUCUUGUCAAACAUUUUUCAAUAGUAGGUAUAUACCAAAUAGAUUAUGAACUACUUUAGAGUUGGGAGUAAAGCUCAGUGACAGAGCAAUUUGCCUAGCAUUUGUGAGGCCUUGGAUUCAAGAAAAAAACAAAAACAACUGUAUUCAUCAAGAGAAACAAAUCAAAACCACAGUGAAAUAUCAUCUUACACCUGUGAAAACGACUAUCAUCAAAAUAACAGAAAUAAGUAUUGGUAAAGAUGUAAAAGUAUUGGUAAAAAUUGAAAUUCUGCAUAUCAUUGUUUGAGAAUGUAAAACAGUGCAGCAGUUCUGAAAAACAGUAUGGAAUUACUAAAAAAAAAUUAAAAAAAGAAUUAUCUAUGAUUCAGCAAUUCCAGUGCUAGGUACAUACCCAAAGACAGUUGAAAUCAUCAAUGUAAAGAGAUAUCUGCACUCCCACAUUCAUAACAACAGUAUUCACGAUAGCCAAGACAAAAGAUUAAUAUAAUGAAUAUAAUUCUGUGGAAAGAUUAAUAAAUAAAUAUAUGUUGGGGUAAAGAUACACAAUGGAAUAUUAUUUAACCUUUAAAAAGAGGGAAAAGCUACCAUUUGUGACCCAUGUAUAAACCUGAAGGAUACCAUGUGAUGUUAAAUACACCAACCAUUGGGCAGAUACUGCAUUUUCCACUUAUAUAUCUCUAAGAGUCAAACCCAUGGAAGCAGAUAAUUUAAUACUGACUUCUGUGGGGUGGGAAUAGAGGAAGUAGACAGUUAUCGCUCAAUGAGUAAAUAUUUCAGUUGUUAUAUAAAUGAAGUCUAACGAUCUUCUGUACAUAGUGCUUAUAGUUUACAAUAUGAUAUUGUGAACUAUAAAAUUGGUUAAGAAGGUGGAUCUCAUGAUAAAUUUUUCUAUAAUGUGAAGGAAGGAAGGAAAGAGAUAUAGAUGAGGGGAGAGAGGAAGGAAGGAAGGAAGGAAGGAAGGAAGGAAGGAGAAGAAAAGAAAGAGUAAGGGAGAGAGAAAGAGAGGGAAGGGAAAGGAUAAAGGAAGAGUAGGGUGAAGGUAGAAAGAAAAAUACAAGACCGUACACAAAAAUAUUCUAGCAGGUUUUGUGUAUGUCUCUUAACAUAAGUUGUGGUGAUAAUAUCACAGGCCUUCAAAUUUAUCAAAUUCAACCCAUUAAACAUAUGCAGUUCUUUGCAUUUAAAUUAUAGUUCAAUAAAAUCAUUAAAAAGAGUAAAAACAUGGUAUGGCUAUAUGAACAAAGCAAAUACAAAAGACACUUUGCAUUGUUGUUUAUUAAAGAGUGCUCCACACGAAUAAAAGCAUAUUGCAAAUUUUGUGAAUAAAUUCAAAGUACAAAUUGGUAUUACAAAAUAUACACUAUUCAUUAUUAAAAAAAAAAACUUUGAAGUUGAAGCUUUACCUGAAAAAUUUUGUAAGCACUGAGCUCUUCUUAUGUGAAUAUCUGAAUGUUGUCUGGAUAGUUGCAUUACAAGUAUAUGUCCACGUUUAUAUACAGAAAUGCAUGUUAUAAUAAAAUAUAUGCACACUGCAUAUUAGCAUCUAUGUUGAAAAUAAAAAACAUUUUUAUUAUCAAUCUAUCAAGACUUAAUAAUCAAGUUGUUAGCUAAAUUCAUUCUAUGAACAUUUAUUAAUUUUUAAUCAUUUAACAUCUUAAUAAAAGUCAUUUUCUAAGGAUAUCUUUUUAAAACAGGACACUUUAGUAAUUGUUAUUUCAACAUGUUAAUAACCUUGACUUUAGGACAUGAACUGCUUAUGAAGAGAGAAUGGUGGGAAACAGAUGUAUGACUACCUGCUUGACUAAUUGACUUAACUUCCUGUUUGACUUCUACAAACUACUUAUGGUUCACUUAGAAUGAUUUUAAUUGGAUCAAAUUUUUUUUUUGGUGAAUCAAGAACUUUAACCAUAAACAGCUACAAAAAAUUGGAAAUAGUACCAAUACAUGUACAAAUAUUCCUACAUUAUAAUACUUAGUUCUUCUAGUCUUCUUAGGACUAACACUGUGAACAGAGUCUACACUGACCAUGUACAUCAUAGAGUCUAAAACUGAUGACUUUUUCUUGUGACUGACAGGGAGCUAUUAAAGAUGCAGAAAUAGAAUAUUUAAAUUUUUACUUCAAACUAUAAUUCCUAGCAUUGGUUAGAAUGCGUGGAAGAGAGAAAGAAAUGCAGGAUAUUAUUCAAAAUAGGAGCAUAGUUAUGGAUCCAUAAAAAGGGGGUUUUACAAACCAGGAAUAGGCAACACAAGAUAUUUUAUUUAUACUUUGGUGGACUAAAGAUGCCAGUCAUAACUUCAUAUGCUAUAGAAGAAGUAAGAGUUAGAGAGAAGAUUUCAUUACCAGGCAGUUAAUGAGUCCUAUGAAAGCUUUUCUAAGAGAUCUGUGUAAUAUCUGAUAUUAUUUCUCUCCAUUUCAUUAAACUUCCUGAUCCUCAGUCUCUUUGUAAAGCAAUAAGCUUCACCUGAGGUAAGAAAAAUGAUACCAUCAUUUGAAAAGAGAAUUUCAUGAUUCUCACACUAUCAUUAAAACUUCCUUUUCAUGUUAUCUGUCAUGGGUCAGCACUAGGGUAUUGAUCCUCUGUGAAUCAAAAUCUGUUGGGUAAUACACAAAAUAUAAUUCAAUAAUGGAAUUGAACUCAAAUUUAGAGCCAACAAAGUCCUGAACUCUGGACUGGCCUGGUCUUGCUAAGCAUUCCAACAAUGAGGUAGAUGGAUACAGCUUUCUACCACUGAUUUAGCAGUAAUGGAGUAAUGGAUUGUGCAGCCUGUAGGGAAAGGUAUGCCUUGAUAAUGGAUAUUAGACCAGUUGGGAAGGGUCUCAGAAAGAAAUCUGCCACCAUCACCUUUUUCCCUCCACCCCAUCCACAGCCUUGAUGUAAGAGCUUCAGUCCUCUAAGGGAGAUCAGUGCUGAAUAUUACCACAUUCCCUACACAAGCAAGAUAGUGAAAAGAAUUUUCAAACUACUGACGCACACACAUGUGCACGCAUGCCCCGCCCCCCCGAACAAAAUCAACAAUGACAAGAAGCCAAACCAGAAAGACAGUUAGCUUUAUAGGAAUUGCUUUCUCUUUUAUUUAUGUUUAUAUUGCAUUUUUGAAAGAGGAAAAUAAAGAUAAAGGUCAUGAUAGCUGGAUUAGUAUGGAUUGAUUUGGCUCAGUGAACUGAAUCCCCUAAAUGAGAAUUUCUAGAGUAGUUAAAAUAGAAAGAACUUUUUAACAGGGACUUUGAUUGAUGACCAUAACCUAUACAAGCUUUUGCCUUAGUGAUAUGGUGAAGAUGAAAUGCUACAGCUUGUUUGAAAUGAGGAAUGGUGUUUAUAAAGGACAUUUUCUUCAGUUCGUUGGACAAUGUAGAGCUUUAUGAGUCACAGCAAUUUCUGAUUCUUAGUGCCUAGAAUUCAUUUCUGCUUCCUAUUGUAAGAGCUACAGUUCUCCAUUGAGGCAAAUUUCAACUAAAUCUGUUCUUCUUCCUUGGGCAUCAAAUUUAAAAUCAAGUAAAAUUAUUCAAUCAGUUACUUUUUUUAAUCAGAAAGGAAAUAUAAUUAAUGAUUUCUAUGCAAUUUUAUUUUCCCUUUUUAUUCCAUUGAAAUGCAUUAGAUGGCCACUGGUCAUUGUAUUAGUGCUUUAUAUAUUUUCUAAGACCUUUCAAUCUCUCAUAGUUGAGAGAUAAAAAUAAAUAUUGAAAACUAUUAUAAAAAUAAUACAAAGCAAAUAAUAUAAACACUUCAUGAUUUCUCUAAUAAUUUUAGAAACUCAGGGCCACUUCAGUUUAACCAGAAAGGACCAUGAAGGUAAUGGCUAAAAAAAAUAAAUGUCUCUAUGAGGGAAUGUAUGACAGAAGGAUCUUGAUGCUCACCACAGCCUCUUAGAAUGCACGUGAGGAACUAGUCAUAUAAUUCUCUUAUCCCUUGGAAUAUAAAGUUAGUCUAGAAGAGACCAUUUCUCAAUUUAUAAGUGGUAAAAAAUCCAUCUCUAACAAAAUGGGAUAGUGAGGCAAAGGAGAUUUAUUGUUGGAAUAGGUGAUAUAUUUGAAAUCAACACUAAAGAUCAAACUGGCUCACUUAGUAAGGAUAUGAAGGCCAAAAGGUGACACUUGCCAAUCAAGGGCACAUGUACAGACAUUUUUACACUCUAGGCUCUAGUUUCUCAGAUGUCUACCAGAGGACAGAAUAACAAUAAUAUCUAAUUCAAACACUUUUUGACUCUUCAUUGAACUCCAUAUAGGCUUGGAUUUCUACAAUAUUGAAUAAAAAUCAUUCACUUAUAGAUAUAUUACUUAAUCAUAUAUUGACAUUCUAUAAAUUAAGCUAUUUCUUAUUCAUUUUAUUAAGGUAACUGUUAAUAUUAAUUAAUAUUAUUGUAACUGUUGUCAACUCUGCACUUUAGUCAGAUUGUAUCAUGGUGCCAUUUUAAAGAUGAAAUAAAUGUAACUGAGUUAUAGAAGUUGAUUAUCUUAAGGUCAUGAAUUAUUCUGAGAGAGAUUGUAUUUUCAAACCCAAAUUACUGGGACUUUAAUUUCUUCAUUCUAAAUUCUUGGAUGAGUUUCUGAUAUCAAAUAUACUCAAGCAUACAUUCAAUUAAUAUAUGUUUGAGUGAGUAAAUAAGUGAAGGGUGAAUUGGUGGUAAAGUAGGCACCAGAACAAAUAUUCCCUCAUAAUUUUCAAUGAAGUGUUUUUUUUUUACUAAUCAUCAUUGUUUUUUCCCCAAUUUUUCUAUUCUAUUUAUUUAAAAUGUCUCCUGUUUUUAAAAUUAGUUCAUGUAAUACCUCCAAAAAUUGUUAAAUAAGGCAAAAUAUCCUAUUUCUAAAGAAUAAUAAAAAUUAUUUUAAAAAUCCCUACUAUUAUUAUUUAUUUUUUUGGGGGGGUGGUUACUGGGGAUUUAACUCAAUGGCACUCCACCACUGAGCCACAUCCCCAGUCCUAUUUUGUUUUUUAUUUUGAGACAGGUUCUCAAUGAGUUGCUUAGCGACUCGCUUUUUGCUUUGGCUGGCUUUGAAUUUAUGAUCCUCCUGUCUUAGCCUCCUGAGCUAUUGGGAUUAUAGGUGUGCACCACCAUUCCUGGCUCCCUAUUAUUUUUAACUAAUUGAAAAAUACAGCAAAAUCAUGGGCUGCAUGCUUCCUUUUUCUCUAAGCAUAUAAGAAAAGAAAGAAAUGCCAGGAAUCAUGUUCUGGCUUAAUGAGAAAACUUACAAGAUUGUACUGUUUAGAAAAGAGAUAUCAAGCUAUAUGCCUCUAAUCCUGGGAGGCUGAGGCAAGAAGAUUUCAAGUUCAAGGCAAGCCUCAGAAAUUUAGGGCGACCCUAAGCAACUAGUGAGACUCUAUCUCAAAAUAAAAAAUAGAAAGUCACUGUGGAUGUAGCUUAAUGGUAAAGUGCCCCUGGGCUUAAUUCCCAGUAUUGAGACAGAGAGUGAGAGAAAGAGAGAGAGAGAGGGAGAGAGAGAGAGAGAGAGAGAGAGAGAAGAAGGGAAGAGAAGAGGAGGAAAGGAGAGGGGGAGGGAAUGGAGAGGUGAGAGGAGAAGGAGGAGAGGGGAAGGCAAGGGAAGGGAUGAGACAUCAACUUAGAUAUUACCAGGGCAACAAGUUUUAUCAGGCCAUAACCAGUCAGAAUCAAAGAGGGUGUUGAGGAUAAGGCUUGACUUCACAGAACAUAGCAACACUUUAGGAUUCUUAGACUUGUUAAAAUAACUGAAAUAACGGCUGUAUAAUGCAUAAUGGUGUUGGGUUUCUAACAGCUGUAAAAAAAAAAAAAGAAAAAAAUAUUUUCUCCUUUUUAUAACACUGUUUUAUUUCACUGAACUUAGUAGAGUGUGUAGUUUUCAAGACCAAGAGCUACAGCUUCCUUAAUUAGCUCCAAGAGAAGAAAUGGCAAGCCUAAGAAACCUAAAACUCCCAUAGCACAGAGAAAAUGGCAUAGAACUGCAUUAUUAAAAAUCAGAAUGUGGAACAGGCUAUAAUUUGUAUCCACAAAGCAGUCCCAAAUAUUCAAGCUGCACAAUUUUCUAUCCCACUUCUGAACAUCUUGACUAUACCUUAAGCAACUACUUAACAUUUUAUUAUAUACUGUCUCCUAGUUUAGUAUCCAUUCUUUUCACCAUGAGAACUGCUCUGCAGUGACCUCUUGCAGUACAUCAAACAUUACUGUGUAGGCAUGGUCUGUCAAACUAUCUACUUUACUAAAGAAAAAAAUGAAAUUAUAAGAUUAAAUAUAAUAUAGUUUGACCAAUAAUAGAGAUUCAAUUUCAGGAAAGCAAUGGCUGUUAGGAAAUACAUCUAAUCCUUAUGUUUCAUUUGAAAGGAAUUCUCCUAUUGUUCAAUAGAUAAGAUUUAUCACUGUUGUAUGCACUAAAAAAAUAUUGUUUAUCUUAUGCUCUGUUUUAGAGCCUUUUCAAAAUGCUUUGAAAUGCAAAAUUACUCUCAUGAAGGUUAUCCUCUAAAAAACAUUGUUUACACAUGAAUAUAUAUUAAAAAUUAACUAUGCAAUAAAAGAACAGUCACUGAAUAAUAAAAGAUUAAUCAGUAAUGAGAUAUAUCUCACUAUUCUUUCAUUAUUUCACCGAGCUCUAAUAUAUAGUCUUUCCAAAGAAAUAGCAUAGUUAAGUGGAAAGAAAACUAUGUCCAGAUUAACAUAAAUCUGACUUCAAAUGCUAUUUUGAAAUUCUACCUCCUUUGUAACAUUGGAUAAACCCCAUUUUCUCUUAAGAUUCAAUCCUCUCAAACGUAGGAUAACAUGUACUUAUUUUUAUUAUUAAUCAAAGUCUUCCAAUGAGAAUGUCUGAUGAGCAUUGAUACUUUUAUCAGACCUUAAACUUGGUAGAAGAAAAUUCAGCUUUUACUAAAAUGUGUGAAAUCUUAUUAUGGAUAACUCUAUAAUUCUUUCAUGAGUUUUAUGCUAUUUAAGAGUACAAUAAACACUUAUAUAGUUUUGUGCAACACACUUUGGGACAAAAAAAAACUGGAUUAUCUAAAUAUGUGGUAGUACCUAUCAUUCCAGCUACUCAGGAAGCUGAGGCAGGAGAACUACAAGUUCAAGGUCAGCCCAGGUAAUUUAACAAGACCCUGUCUCAAAAAGAAAAAAAAAAGAGUUAAAUAAAAUUAAAAAUAAAAUAAAAUCACAUAUAAAUAAAAUAAAAAUCCACCAAACAGACAAUAUUUUUUUUUUUUUGUAUUUUAAGAUCAGAAAAUAAGUCCAAUCCUUUUCCUCCUCCUCCUUCUCUUUGGUACUAAGAAUCUAGGUUACAGGAUAGUACUUUACCUCAAUUGUGUUCUAACCAUUGAAACAAUUAGAACAAUUAAGACAAAUUGUCUCCAAAUAACUGUUCCCAGAAUUAGGAACAAUUGUUCUAUUUCAAAGAUGUACAAAGUAAACAAAGCCAAAUGAAAGGACUAGCUGAACUACCCAUGUUCAAAUUAUUAUUUCCAAAUUUACCAAUUAGAAAAAGGUCUUCUAACAGUUUUCCUGAAAAAAGUAACUGAUGGGGUCUUAAAGGGGCAGGUUCUCCAAUAAUUGUGAAUCACCCAUUUGAAUAUGUAUCCUGGGAGCAUGAAAUAACUAUUCCUAUCAUAAUCUCCUCACAUGUGAGCAUAUGGGUGAAAUGCAUUUCAGGCUAGUCAGAUUUUGCAUGACAUGAUUGUGUUAUUGCUAAUGCAAAGUUAUUUCUAUUAAAAUUUAUAGAAAUACUCCUGAUUUUUUACAACCUUGGAAUUGAAAGCAUUCAAAAUUAAUUAAAUAACAUAUUAAGGAAUAUAUUCAAGAUUGUUUUGGUUUCUUUAUAUUUACUCCUUAUUUUAACCAAAUAACUUUCGAAAAGUAUAUCAAUGAGCCUAACCCAAGAACUAAAAUAUAUCUGCUUAGAUAUCUGCUAGGCAAAUCAUAGAAUUUCAUUAGAAAUAAUUUAUAUUGACUAAAAUAAUAUAACUCAUAACAAUAUUGGUAUACUUUGCUAACAAAAACAACAACAACAAAAGAUCAGUUAUACAGUUGACAGAAUUGAAAAUUUUUCUAUGUGGCACAUUUUUUAUUUAUUACACCUUAAAUUCAAAUAUAUAAAUGUAUGACACAUAUGAUAAAAUAAAAUUGACUUCCACCCCAAAUAUUGUAAAAUAUAGUAUCAAAUCUAAAAUUGGUCCAAAUGAAUUUUACAUAUAUCUUUUGCCUUUUGUGAUUAUAUUUAAUUCUAUUUUUCACUUUAUCUACAAAAGUGGAAGUGCUAGUGAAUAUAAAAUAUAAUAAUUUAGUGCUGCAUAAUAGUGUUAUUGAACAUAUUUAAAUUUAACAGACAAAGAAAAGGAAAUAAGAUAAGGAAAUGUGUAAAUCUAUAUAAAACUGGACCCAUAGUUGGAAGUGGUAUUGAAUUUAUGUCACAUACUUUCUAAAUGUUACUGUGGUGAAAUAUAUAACAUUAUUUCUACAAGGAUACAAUUAAGGAUAAAAAAGAAAGUUGGGACCAUGGAACUGGUAGAAUGAAAGAAAAUCUUGAAAAAUAGUUUGGACCUAGAUAGAUAACCAGGAAAUUUACAUACAAAUAUAUUACAAAUCAAUCUAUUCCUGUUUGGAAGUCUUUAAUGCCAACAUCAUAUACUCAGAGCUUUCUGGGAUUGAUGAAAUCCAUAGGUUAUACAAAUGCAAGUUUAGAAGGCUUCAGUAAGGAAGAGACAACUGUCUUGACAAGUCUAGUCAGCUCUGUUCAUAUGCUAAGCUUAGAGUUAUAGUGAGAUCGCUCAUACCCAAAAGGCCUAUGGGAUACAUGAAAGGUUGAAUCAGAGCAAGAUUAACAGAAAAUUGGGAAUGUUGGUUUCCAUCUUUACUUCCAAUAUUUCUAGGAGAUUGUCAGAGAUAGAAUAUUACAAUUGUUUUGAUUUAAAGCCAAAAAGCAAAUACCAGCAGGAAAAGGUAUUUUAAAUAAUUCUUAGGCAAAUGUUCUUUCCAGGCAAUGACCCCUGUGGGUGGAAGAGAUGAAACAUUAUGUAUACUCAAAUUAUAUGAAUUAUGCACUGAACAAAAUCUGAGUGAAAAAAAAUAUGCAGUAAUUCAAAAUCUCUGGAGGCCAACAGACUCAAAACAUAUUUUUAAAAAUAUGUAACUCAAAUUCUUCUCUCUUUUAUCUGGAUAAAGUCUUCUUCAAACUUUACUGUUCUUUUUUGCCAAAUUAAAGCUAGAUACAUUUUAUACCCCCAUCUACAGUUACUAUUCAAAGUUUUGUCAAAUGUUUUUUGUCAACAUGAAUUGAUUAGCAAGGACAUAUCAUAUACUCAAUUCACCAUAUAUUCCAUUCACCUCACCUUUGUGAUCCAAAGAAUGCAAAACAUUCCACAUUUUUCUGCCUUCUCUCUUUUUUUCCCCAUAAGACUCAGAGAGCUCUCUUUGUUCUCGAUUUAGUAAUUUAAUUCACUUCUGCCCACCUUGACAUCUUUGUCUGUAUGUAAUAAAUCCUCCCAUCAGUUUGUCUUUCAAUAUAAACAUCAACCAAAAUGGAACCAAUGAUUUCUUAGAUACAUAAUUUUACCUAGUUACUUCUGAGCUUAAAUUUCUUAAGGUACAAAAUGUGAAAUCAGACCUAUAUGCUUUUCAAUAUCUUAUCUAGAUAUUAAGCCUGAGAUCAUAAUAAAUAAAUAAGUAAGUAAGUAAGUAAGUAAAAAAAUAAAUAAAUAAAUUUCAUGGAAUGGGUAGAGAAAGGCUGCAAGAAAUAAUCUGGAAAAGAUAAAAAUACUAGCACUAAAUAAAAUAAUAACACUGAGUUGACCUUGUACUUACUUUUGGGUGCUGUUAAAUGUUUGCUAAAGUGAUAUGAAAAUUUUACAGUUUGAAUCAUCUUGAUACUUUUAAGUUAAGGUAGUGAAAGCACUGGAUGGAAUAGGAGCAGGAGCAAAGAGGACAAUAUAAGGCAUUCUCCUUUGACCUAAUCAGUUGGAUAAUAUAAUGUACACUAUGAUGUUAUGAUUAUGAGCAAUCUCCAUUGUUUCCUUUCCUUAUUAAACAAAUUAAAAAAGAAAAACAGUAGUGAAACAUGUAACUGAAACAGGUCACAGCACAUUUAAAAAAUAAGGUCUUUUCGCCAAAUGUCAAGGAUUGUAUGGUUUAGAUAAAGUGAAAAACUGACAACCUAGAAUUUCAUGUGAAAUUGUGACACUUCCAGAAACUAACUUACCCUGAUGUGAAAAAUAAGCUUCAAAAAUGCUAAUCAAGAGUUUCUUCCUAAAACAUUGAAGUUAUACAUCUUUGUGUUCAAAUAAUUCUAUACAUAUGUAAUCCUUAGAAAAAUAAAUAUAACACACUUGAAAAUCAAAAUGAGGCAGGGAAGUAAGGGCUCAUGAUGUUACUCUCUAAAACACUGAUGAUUGAUUCUAUAUUAGGUAAAACACUCAGCUGGAUGCUUGGUGAAUGGAACCUUAAUCCAUAUGAAGUUUUGCCGCAGUCCGGCUGGCUGCAGCAAAAUAACCGGGGGGGGGUGAUGAAUAACUUGUGUACGUUGAUACAGCAGGAGUGGGAGCCAUUUAUUGAAGGACAGGAGCAGUAUUUAUACAUUCCACACAGCUUAUCUAAUUAGCAUAAACUAGAUACAUCAGUCAACCAAUAAGGAAUCUCCACACUUAAUGGCUCGCUUUUGUUACUUCUCAAACCACUCCCUCUGGCAUUUUGCCAGGCACCAUCCAGACUUGUUUUCGAACUUUAACAUUCCCCUGACAAAAUGCCAGGUGUUAUUUUGACUUGUUUACAGACUCUAACAAAGUUUUAAGUCACUGGAUUUAUUGAAUUAAAUUUUUUACUUGUACUUCUUGUUCAGAUUUACCUUGUGACAUUGGAAAUAUCAUUGGGCUGCUACCUGACUCAUCAUGUAAAACUUUAAACGUCACUCACACGUUUACUUAAAAAAUAUCUACUGUGUUCUUUCUAAGUGCAAAGCAAAUGGCUUGCUGUAUGUUAGAUACAGUGACAAAUUUAGACAUGAGCCUCACUGAACUUAUUAUCUUGAAAGAGAGAGAAAAAUAAAAUGUAUAAAUAAUGUGUUCUUCCAGUUGUGUGAAGAACUAUUAUACAGGGUUGGAAGUGAAGAAUGCUAUAAAGAAGUUCAGAUAAAGCACAAUGCAUGUUCAGAGAAAGCAAGAUUAUUUAAGGUAGUAAUAAAUGGAAAGAUUUUGGAUGAUUUGAAAUUUGACCUGAGCAUAAAAAUGCAAGUGGAAUUUUAACAUGGGAAUACGAUAGAAGCAUAUUUCAUGUUUCAGGUGUAGGCACAUUUUUACCAAUAAGCUCUGUUUGUCUGGAAUGUAAAGUACUAACAAAUGAAAAAGAAAAGCACAACUUUAACUAAAUUUGGUUCAAAUUGUAAGAGGUGCAGAUUGCCACUGUUAGGAAGAUUAAACUUAUUCUGGGAACUUUAGUAUGACACUGAAGGGUUUUAAGCAAGAAGGGACAGAAAUCAGUUAUUCUUUUGGGAAUACUAUUGGGACAUGCAUAGACACACGCAAAGUGUGCAUUUGUCUUUCCUAACUAGAUGCCUAAAGGAAUUCUAAGAACAUUCUUACAAAGACUGGAAGAGGUAUCUUGCAUUUUUUCAUCAGCAACCUCAGGUACUACUCUUUAGAUCAACAGUAAUAAAGCUUAUAAACAGAAAAAAAAAAUCUCUACCAUAGCCUAUUUACCUUAAUGCUGAAACCAUGCUUCUUAUUAAAAAAAAAAAAAUAGUUCAGAUGACAGGAAUGUAAAAUAGGUGACAAUGGAUUUUCCGAAGUAAAUUAGUUGCUAAACAUGUCAGUGUUAGGAAAAAGAGCAAGUUUUAGGGCUUGAAGAACUGCAUUGCAUAUGAAUAAACAACACUGGAUUAGUGAAAAAUCAAAUGGCUUAGAGCUCAUCUUGGAGGGAGUCUCAAGGAGAAAAUAUAGUUAAUUAAAAACAAGAUCCAUUUAUCCACUCAUUCCUGCUGGAUGUGCCCUUUGCACUUUUAUUAGUGCUCAGAUUCAGUUUGAUGUUCUCACAUCCUCUGGCCUGUUUCCUUUGUGUCUAAAUUCCUUCAAGCCAGCACUACAAAUCUCAAAGAAGGCUUGUCAAAAUCUGUUUUGUGACUUUUCUAUAAGAUUAUCUUUUCCCCAGAAAAACUCACACCAGGAUUCCAGUUUGGGUAUUGAGCUGCCUGAUUCCACACUCAGCCCUUCAUACCUGGUCUAUCUUUGACACUUCAAAUACUUUCUUUCUAGGACAUAGAUUCCCUGUUAAUUAUAUUCACUCAUCUUUGCUUCACCUUGUUUGGAUGUCAGGGAACGUGCCUGAAUAUUAUUUGUGUUCCCCUUCACUGUUUUAAACCUGAUAGGCACUAAAAUAAAAAAAAAAAUAAAAAAUAAUACAAGUUAUUAAAUAAGUAGAUAAAUAAAUAAAUGCCCCCUUUGGGAAUAAGAACAACCUGAGGGAAAAAUGCUAUUAUUCAGUCCUUUUCCCAGACGUGAGUAUUUUGAAAUCACACCAUCUUCUCAUUUAACAUUAGAACAAAAACACUUCCAAUCCUUCAUGUGGUUAGAAAUCUAAACAUUGCCAAAGACACAUCUCUCAUUUCACACUUCAGAAAUGAUGCAAGAGAUCAUUUUAUUCCCCUAGGGCUUGAAAUAAUGGGUAGUCAUGGCAUGUGCUCUGGUCGGAAAAGACAACAGACUGCCUACAGUUUCUUUUAACCAUACCCAUCCAGACACCACCACAUCAUCACCACUAAAAGCUUCAUUUUUUAACAGGAAGGGGGUAAAAUGAGAACAAAACACUUGUAAAUGUGUGAACAGUUCAGUAAAUGUUAAUCAGCCCUUGAAGGUGGAAGAUAGCCUCUUUUGCACUCACUCAGGACUUGAGUACAGUGUGUGAGGUUUUCUACCCCCAAACCCAGGCUGAUUUUGUAAAUUUCUCUCUCACAAGUUAAUGUGUAAGAUCUUAAAUAAACUCUUCAGAAGGAAGAUACAACAUAAAUAAUGAUGCAUAUAGGGCUCUGCAUCAUUAUUUUUACCUCCUUUUGUUUUUGUUUUAUAGAUUCAUACAUAAGUUGUGUUGAUUUUUUCCUUUUACAUAAUUUACUAGUGUUGAUGAAUUCUGAUAAGAUAUUUUCCCAACCACAAAAGAUAUAAUUUUCUUAGUGGUAGACUCAUGAGUUUAUAUAGGGAGUUUACAACAGGUAAGUCACUGAUAAUAUUGCGUGAACUAUUUUUUCCCAGUUUUCUGUAACCUGGAAACUCAAGGGGUUGUGUAAGAACUGUGAUGUUUCAAACUUGAGAAUCAUUCUCUUGUUUCUGAGAACUUGGGCUGGUUUCUUGCAUUUUCUAAGCCCGUUUUGUUACCUAUAAAAAUGUGAUGACAAACUAAGGUAGUGGGAUGUCACAAGGAUAUAACUGCAUUUUAAGUUACACAAUAGGACUUUUUAGUGUAUUUUAUUUUACCCCAAUUUACAUCAAACAGUUUAAUGCAGCUUAAUUAGUUUUAUACUUCUAAUAAUCCAACUAUGCGUUCGGUUGACUUCAUCUUUGUUGAACAAAACCCCUUCAGAAGCCAACAGAAAAUUCUCUAAGGGUAAAAUAUAUGUCUCUUAAAUUAAUUUUCACUGAGAUUUAUUAAUUAACACAAUUAGUAUUAAGGAAAAAAACACCAAUAUUCUAUGCUCAUUUAUGAAAUAUAGGUGCAUAACUUGGUGUCUUCCCCACGACAGCUCUUAAGGAUUCUCUGUCUGUGAUUCACUUCCAUUGCUACUAUACCAGAAUAUGUAAUCUAAACAGCAAUCAACAAAGAUAUAUUGAGUUUCUAUAAAGUAUAAAGACAGGAAUCAUAAGACACUUUUCACAUAAGACACCAUUGGUAGUGAUACUCUGUGAUAAUUAAUGAAGGUUUGGAGUAAAUGUGUGGUUCAAUUCUCAUGUAUGUCUUCUUAUACAUUUCUAUUUUUAAUCAUAUUUGUGUAUAAUAUUUAAGUAACUAAAAGAACAAAAGAGCAUCUACUUUUAACAGGAACAUGCAGGAUAUGAUGCACAAACCCAGGGCUUUUGGUUUAAUGCUUUGCUGUCACCAUCUUGAAAGUCUUAAUAAUCAUGGAACAAGGGAUUCUAUAUUGUCAUUUUGCACUGGGCUCACUAGUUACAUAGAUGGGCCUUCAUCUACAUAAAGGUGGCAUUAUAAGUUGGUAUAUCAUUGGAAUGAAGUGAACAGUAUUCAAAGUUCUUGAAAGAAUCGAUGAGCUGAAGAAAAUGUUACCCCAAAAUGUAACACCUUGAAACUGGGAGCCAGCAGAAGCAGGAAAGGCUGCUCUCACCUUCCCCUCAUCCUUCUUCUCUGAAGCCACUGUAAAAGGCAGGAAGGUCACCUUCUCUUCUUCCUUGAAGAUGCUUAUGGGACAGAGUGCUGCCCUAAACCUAAAGGGAAGGAAAGACACAUGAAGAAUCUGAGCAAAAGUCCUUGCUGAGCCCGCAGUUUAUCGCUAUUAGGUUGUACCCUUCUCUCUUCCAGCUAAAUUUCUGCAUGACUGUCCAUAAAUAUGCACAAAUUUCCCUAUCUCUUUAGGUCUUUAUUUCUGCAGUCACCCAUUCUGCACAAAAUUUAUUAAAUACAUUAAUGGAUUUUUCUUUCAUUAAUCUUUUUUGUUAUAAGGGUCUCAGCCAUGAACCUUGUGAUGAGUAAGAAAAAGACAUUACUUUUUCUCCUAUACAUUAAGAAAGGUAAGAAAAAAAACCCCAGACAUUCCAUCUAAACAAACAGGUUGCAGCCGGAUAAAAUAAAAUCGAUAACAGAAACAGGUUAUGCAAAGCAUCUUGCUACUGCUGCAAAGGGUCCUGUCUCCAAUUUGUCUUCACUCACAUUGAAAUAGGGCUGAUCUCUCUAUUCCAACCAAAAGAUGAUUAGAAUUCUAUAGUCAUAAUGUUUUUCCACUUUGGUGCACCAACAUUUCUAAGUAGCAUCUGUUCACUGGGAUAGAAUAGGUUCCUAAGUGCAAAUUCAUACCUAUUAGUAAUCAAGAGUGUAGGCCUUUAUUAACUUAGCAAAAGUUAAUUCCUCUCUCCUUUAAACUUAAAGCUUCUGACCUUCUAAUAUGUGUGUGCUAUUGCCCUUUUGAAGAACCCCUUUGGGGACUAAUCGUGUCUAUAAUUCAUGCAAUAGGAACAAGUUGUUGUCCACAGACUGACAAGAUACUGUCAGAUGGGGCACUUCAUGACACAUUUGAACUUAAUUGGUAAGAAUUGUCAAAAUCCUGGUGAUGCUUCUGAAUGCAAGAGUUUAUCGAUCCAAGCUACCAAAUGAAGUUGCAUGAAGAAAAGCAUACCACAAAAUCUUUUUGAAAAACAGUAUAUAUCAACCCUCAUGUACAAACUGUUGAGAACCUUCACCAAUGACCUCUUUAUACAUGCCCCUUUUAAAAAGUUCACAUUUAUUGAUACGAACAUGUGAACGGCAUGCGUUGUGCCUGGCUUUUCUUAAGAGAGUGACUGAAACUUGCGCCAACUGACUGAGGAAGCCAAGCUCUUGCAGCUGACUGUUUCUGCAAACUGAUCUGCAGAGCUGCCAUGGUGGCAAAUGGCACUGAGAGGCACAAGAAAGUGGGACAGGAAAAGCACUGGGCAAGACACAGAAUGAUUGAUGGCAUCUCUGUUUUGCUGGGUGCCAUCUGUUGAAGACUACAAGGAGAUAGAUGAAUAGAAUAUAUAUUUUUUAAAUAGCUUGUUACUUUUAUGAAAUCAAUCAAUGUAAUAGAACUUAAAAAGUACAUGUUGACUUGCCCUCCCAGAUUCCAGCCCUUGUCUGCCUUCGCCUGUCAAAAAUAUUUUUGGUAAGUAAAAAGGAGGCCUUAUGCCAUAUGUGUUUUAAUAUGAUAAUUUUUAAAGUUUUUAUUUCCUUUUCCUUCCUCAGUUGAGAAAAAAAAUCUAUUUCAUAGACUGUAUGCCAAAAAUCCCUUGAAAAAAAAAUUCAGAACAAGUGGUUUCCUAUUUUGUGGUUGGUUAUUUCCUUCACGGACAUUCCCUAGGGUUCAAAGCUAUAAUUUUAAUUUAGAGUGGAAAAUGAAUAGUCAAAAUGUACUAAUACUACUGUGAAUUUUAGAUAUAGGGCUAGUGAAAACAUUGUUCUACCUUUCAUUGACAGCUUCUUAAUUUGACUAAGGUUUCUUGAUAACUUAUAUGUUUAUUAAAACCUGCUCUAUUCCCAACCCUUGCAAACUAUCUCCCCUCCUUUUUUCACCCUUACAGAGAAAAUAAAAGGAUUUUAUGUCUACACUUAAAUCCACUGUUUAAUGUUUGAAGUAUUAAAUGACCAUCAGGAUAUUUUUCAAUGAAUGUCAUCAAUGCUUCUUAUAAAUGGAGUAUGUUUCAGAAACCUGAUAUAUUGAUGGUAAGGUCCAGCCUAUAUUUCACAUGAAAAUAUGCACCAUUGCUGAUGAAGGAAAAGUUGUGUUGACAUUUCCAUAAGGAAUUUACAUAAAUCUCCACAGCAAUAGGACUUUAAAUAUUCCAUGAAUUUUUUUCUCCUGUAAGUCAAGAUCCUACAGUGAUUUAAAAUAAAAUAGAUUGUCUGUGCUACAAAAUGAAAAUUCACAUAUAUUCAAUUGCAUGGGUUAGAAAAGGGAUGUGAAGAACACAUUCUAUUCACUAACCCAUUUCUUGAAAAUAUGUAUGCUGAUUUCAAAUAUUUUUGUGGUAAGUAUCAAUAUUAAGUUAGCUUUUUUUUAAUAUAUGGGAUUGAACUUGGGCACUCAUCUAUGGAGCCACAUCUGUAGCCCUAUUUUGUAUGUUAUUAAGAGACAGGGUCUCACAGAGUUGCUUAGUAUUUCACUUUUGCUGAGUCUGGCUCUGAACUCACAAUCCUCCUGCUUCAGCCUCGGCCUCCCAAAGUAGCUGGGAUUACAGGCAUGCACCACCACACCCAGAAAGAUCACAUUUUAACCAUAGAAAAUUUGUGUAAAGAUGAGAUUAAUGCCAUAGAAAGAAAGUUGAAAUUUGCUCAAUUUAAUUAAUACUUUAUAGAGAUUAUGACUUUGUUAAAAAACAAAUUUGCCAUAGGUAGAUAAUUAUUCCUAGAGAAAAAAAUAUCUUAAUAUCUUUAAUAAAUUUUUCUUUGGGACUUGAAAUAACCAGUAUAUUGUAUGAGUUUGGGCAAAAUCUAAGUCCAGUUUUGUUUCCUGUUCCUGGUAUUUCGACAACAAAAUGGAGACCCAGUGAGAUCUAUCAUAUGGCUCUUAUAAUACAGAGGAAAAGAAUUAAACCAUCAAAAAUAAAAAACCUGACACAUUUCUUUUUUUUUUCCUCACAUCAUCAUACAUGUAUUUUGUAUAACGAUGAGGGUCUCCUUCAUCUUCUGUGCAAUUCCCAUUUCGAGAGAGGUGAUGGGAGGGGAGUGGAGGGGAGGGGGGAUAGGAAGGGAAGCAAAAUAGACACUAGUAUUGCUGUAUGUAUAUACGUGGCCGUAUAACCAAUGUGAUUCUGCAACCUGUACACUUGGAAAAAUGAGAAAUUAUACCCCAUUUGAUCCAAAUGUAUGAUAUGUCAAGAUCAUUGUAUUGUCAUGAGCAACUAACAAAAAAAAAUAAAAAGAUUAAAAAAAAACCCUGAAAGAAAAUAAAAACCUAUCUCUGUACCACCAGUCCGAUGAGUUAAAAGUUUUUUUUAAUUUCUUCCUCCAGAUAGAGUAAUGAAAGACAUUUUAAAGAAAUAUUACAUGUAAAUAGAAAUCAAGUUCAAACCUUGGUCCUUUACUUACUGAUGUUAGUGAGUCUUACAGAACAUGUCCUGGUUCCAGUUUAUUCUUACAUAUUGAGCUGUGUUGGAAUUGAGUCUUAUCAAAGCAGUCAAUAAUAUUUUCCAACAUUAAUCUGGACUUAUCUAUUAAUUCAUCAAAUAUUUUUUUCUGAGAGCCUACUAAGUGCUCUGCUAUGCAGCAUGUCACAAUCUUGUCUGUGAGAUACAAAAGACAUACUCCACUUCUAGCAUAGGAAAGCAUUAAGGAAAAAGUAGGAAAAGAAAAAAAAAUUAAAAAAAGGAAAUUCCAUUCCAAACAGAUGAAAUGCAUUUUCCUGCUGCCCUACCCCUAAUAGCUUGUUUAUUAUUAGCACUAUAAAUUAACAUGAAUAUAGAUGUAAAUAAGCUGCCCUACCCUAUUAGCUUGUUUAUUAUUAGCACUAUAAAUUAACAUGAAUUUAGAUGUAAAUAAAUAAUUGCUAUUAAUUUUGAGGAAUAAACAGAAUGACAAUAUCAUAUAGAAUGCAAACAAAUGUGAGAUCCCCUCCAGUGAUCUGCUAGUGUUUGUGUUUUCACAGUGGGAGUGUUGCUUUUAAAGUUCCAUUUAACCGACCCCCCCAUGUUGACCAACUCACCCAAUCUGCUCUAUUUUUCUCUCUAACUAAAGGAACAUGCAGCUUUGAGAAGUGGGAAGAAGACAGUGAUGAACUGGAGAAAGUAGUCAGAAAGGGGAGGAAUCAAGUAUAGAGUCUGGUAGACAGAAAAUAGCAUAGCUUUCUACCAAAGUUCAGGGGUAUACUUCUAAAGGAUGUGGUGGUGGAAGGGUAAAAUAAUAAAAAAAUAACUUAAAUUUGUUCAGAGAAUAAUAAUGAACACAUCUAUUAGAAUCAGAAAACAGUUUGGCAGGCAAAGUUUGAAACUAGGAGGCCUUUCAGUGUUGCUAUUAUUUCAUUGUCUUCUUUAGUGCUUGUGAUUUGGGUAUUUAUACAAAUACCAUUAAUCAAACCUUUCUCUGCAACUUAAUUUGAGAGUGUACACAGGUAGGAAUCACUGGCUGUCCAAUAUCAUGACAUUUCAAGGGGUUUUGGUAGUACAACAUCAUGAUUAUUAUAUUGAUCUAGUCUGGUUGACCAAAUAGAAACAGGAGGUCACAGAUUGUGACAACAGACAUAAGGAGUAAAGUCAAGAAAAAAACAGUGAUGAGGAGACAGACAAAAAGAAGUUGUAAUGUUAAAUUAUACUCAUAAAAAAGAAAAAGCUUAUGAAUAUAGUUUUAUGUAAACCGCUUCCCAAACACCUAGAUGAGCAUUUUAUAUAUGGAAGAUGUUCAGUAAACAUAUUUACCACGUGUCUCCAGGUGUUAUGGUGUCCUACCAUAUCCCAUUAUUCUGACCAUGCUCUAUCCCAUCUCUGCUAAACAUGGCGUACUCAACACUUCAUGUCAACUCCAGAAAAAGGCAAGAGAAGGAGCAUGUGGUCAGGAUUCAUGUGUUUUUUUAUUAACUGACUCUAAUUUUUUACUUAAAGAAUUGGAAUAGGUAUAAUAAUUUCAGCAUUAUUUUAAAGACAUUAGGAUUCAGGUUUCUAACAGUUGGGGGAGGAAACUCCUUCAAUAGGAAAGAGGAAAUGGAAUAAAAUUCUGUGGUUUUGAAUUGAAAUUGGACAUAUUGGUGUUAAAUUUUGUUUGUGAAAUAUGUAUCUAUAAAAAUCACAUAUGCAUGUAUGUAAGUAUAUUUUAAUUUAUAUGGAUUAAUGGAUAUAUAUGAAUAUAUAUAUGAAAACAUGUUUUCUGGCCUUGCUUGCAGAAACCUCAGCAGUGAUAAUACCCUAGUACCAAAGGCAAACCUAGUAUCUUUGCUCUGGUUUCUAAGACUCAGGUCUCCAAUAAAAGAAACGGGGGCUUUUGGCUAAAUGAUUGAUUCCAGUUUGGUCAAAGAAAUCAUAAACUAUACCUACCAGGUAGUUCCUGCCAGAAGAAAAGAUAUGGUCAAAUAACAAAAGAUAUUUUUCAUUUUAACAUGUUGUCAUGUUAAAAGGCUAUACGAAACAAUUUAAAGACAUAUAUGCUGCUAACCUUAAUACGAACAUCUGAAUAAGUGGUGAUUAUCACAUAUAGCUCAUUUAUAUACUUUUCUAAAGUAUAUAAAUUUAAUAACUGAAUAAACAAAUAGUCUGUGGAUUAUGUGGUAGUAUAAUAUUUAUGGUAAUUUUCUAAUUUUCAUAGUUUUAUUGCAGUAAUGCAGGAAAAUACCUUGUUUUAAGGAAAUAUACACUAUAGUAUUUAGGAAUAGUGGAGCAUUAUACUCUUAAAUGAUAAAAAAAAAGAAAUAGGACAUAUCAAUAUACUUAGAAACAGAGUAAGGAAAAUGUGGUAAAAUCUUAAUGAAAAUCCAGUGAAAUACAUAAAGGGUUUUAUUUAUUUAUUUAUUGACUUUGUACUAUUCUUGCAACUCAUUCUAUAAAUUUGAAAAAAAUAAAUAAACAAAAAAAAUAGAGGUCUGUUGUGUAUUUGAAGUUCUCUAACACCUAAUUUAACUUUGAUUGAUUUAUAAAGCAAUCUACAUGCAGCUGAGUUUCUUCUUAUAGUCCAUUUCAAUAAGCUACUUGUGAGAUGGUCUCUGGAAAGUUUGUGAAAGCAUUUGUCUUCAGUAGUAAGCAGAAUGUUCUAAUCCAGCUUUAAUGGGCGUGUGCGCGCACACACGCAUACACACACACAAAAAAAACUAUUUUUUUGCUUUGAAGCAUGUUUAUUAUUUUGAGUAAGAUGGAUAUGAGAAAUUAAUAUACAUUUAAAAGAAAGAGUUGACCCCACUCCUGUCAAUAGGUAGCUUGAAAAGUAAAAAGAGCAGUAUUACAAGGAGCAACCAGCAGUGUGUUGAGGUAGUGCAGGGUUUAAAGGUCCACUGAAUGAUAGUAGAAACCAGCAAACCUAAGAUCGGCAGAGAAAAAGAGCCUAUUUUGGAUUAUAAAGUAAUACCCCCCCACCCACACACUCACAAAGCAUUUUUCAAAAAAUCAAAGCGCUAACUGCAGGGCGUUAGACUCUGAUAUCUAUUCCAUGCACAGUCUCCAUCUGUCACAUCACAAUAAUAAUUAUUCAAAGGUCAUCAUUGAUUUAUCAAGGAAUGCCCAAUCACAUCCAAAUAUUCAUUUUACAGAGGAUAAGUAUUGAUUAUAGUUAGGAAGACUUCCUUGAAAUAGUUUAAAUUUAAACAUCCCAGACAUAUCUUAACAACAUUUAUUAUAAAGGUACUCGAAACAACAAAGAAUGGAGGGUUGUUAAUUUUAUGUAUUUAUGAUGCAGCAUUAUUCAUAGUAAACUUCAUUUUAAAGGUGAUAUAUAAGCAAUGUAAAUAAUAGAUAGCCAUUGUUGAAAAGGAAAAUAUGUAUGCUAAACAAUUAAUGACAAGGAUAUUUAUAAAUGGGAUUUUCAGCUAUGUUGAAUUUUUGCACUUCUAUUCUAUGAUUGAGUAAUAGUUUAUAUCUUUAUAUAAUUACUUGUACUUUUACAAAUAUAUAUAUAUAUAUAUAUAUAAAUAAAAAUGUUCUCAUGACUAUUGUCCAUGCCAUUCCAGAAAAUAUGCUAGUUAGACUACUUAUUCUCUGAGGAUUCUAGAAAGCCAAAGUUUUACUGUUUGAAAUAGUGUUGAUUAUUGAAAUUGAACUCUGCACAUUAAAACUGCAUGCUUUUUAGUACACAUAACAGAAGGUGAGAUGAUAAUAAUUUGGCAAAAUUCUCCAAUAGAGACAGACUAUGUAAAAAAUAUAUACUAAUUCUAUCAGAGGUUAUCCUAGUUUUAAGUUGAUAGAUUUCAGGCAUGACUUUUCAAAAUUUCCACUGAAAAUAAAUAUCAAGUUAUCUAUAAUUUUUUUUACUGUUGCACAAAUAGAUGUUACUUUCAGAAAACAUAAAUCAUUUUAUUUAUCUCUAUAAAAAAUAUGCUACCUCACAAAGAAUUAUAUGCUCACAAAAAAUUUUGCAAAAGUGGUCCUACUGUGGUCCGCCAAGAUCCAUAAAUCUUGGUAUCAUGCCGAUGAAAUGGUUCAUCCGUAAUAGUAUUUCUUCAAGAAUCAGAAAUAAUAAUCAAGGCAUUCAAAUAGAGCAGCAAUUCAGAAAUUAGGGAGCCUCCCUUACUGUUGUGACAACUCCCUUCUGACACCUACAAAUUAGUGGCUGGACCUUGGAAUGUGGCUUUGGAAACACAGUGUGUAUGCCCAGUGCAUCCAUAACCAGGCACUGACUGCAUCAAUAACCCAGGGUAGUGGUGUUUGAUGGGCUGAAUGCUUGUGCCCCUUCAAAAUUUAUAUUUAGAAACCCUGACUCUCAAUGUGGUUGUAUUUGAAGAUGGUGCCUUUUAAAUGUGAAUAGAACAUGAGGAUGGGACCCUGAUGAAUGAGAUUAGAGCCCUUGUAAAAGAGAUAGACCUCAGAGAGCCCUCUCCCCACUUCUGCCACAUGAGGACACAGUGAGAAGACAGUGCUCAAUAAACCAGAAAGAGGGUCCUGACUGGAACCUCUACAUGCUGGCAACCUCAUCUCAGACUUCUAGCCUCCAGAACUGGAGAAAUACGUAUCUGUGUUUACAAGCCACCUGGUAUGUGGUACUUUGUUAUAGCAGUCAGACUGACUAGGACAGGGAAAAAGUCUCCCUGUUUUCCAUCUUCUAAUUCAAGUGCAAACUGCAUCUAUAUGAGAGGAAUUCAUUUGUGUCUUAAACCUAAAUGCAAGGGAUUUUGAGACAUGUAAUUUGGAUUUUUUAAAAUGUGCUUAAGAGAAGUAAUAUUAGAAAGAUGGGUCAUGAAUUAUAUGUAUUAUAUUGCUAUGUUCACUGAACUCUUUUACUCACGCUUUCAGAAAUGUACUUCAAAACCUUUCAUAUAAACUAAAGUGGGUCACUUUGUAAACUGGCCAUCAUCUGUUUCUUCCCAUAAGUUUUUCUGCAAUUGUUCUUGUAUUUGAAAUCUUUCCUCUCUGCCAAAUGACAUACUCUAGUUUUACUUCUUAUAUUAUUACCCAGCUUUCUUUGAACAUGAAAAUAUUGCCCCACAGAAGACAGUUUCUGUCAUUCUGUAUCCAUUUCUGAAUAUUUCUAUUCCUUAGGAUUUGACUCCAAUUGUAAUACCAGGAUAUUCUGAAAAUAUGAGCAACUCCCCCUCAUUUUCAUUCCUAGUUUACUCUUAGGUUGUGUUUAAAGAUAAUCUUUUUCUUUUUCUUUCUUUUCCUGGUGCUGGGAUUGAACCCAGGUUCUUGUACAUGCAAGGCAAACACUCUACCAAAUGAGCUAUAUCCCCAGCCCAUGAAAAUAGACUUUUAUUGACUCUUAGAUAUCAGGACCUGAGAGUACCAACAAUGUUUGAUAUUUAUGUCAGUUUUCCUUGUAUCAACUAACAUAAUGUUUUUUUAACAUGGUAAAUAAUAAACAUUGGUUAUCUUAUUGAAUAAGGUGAUUUUGUUUAAAAUUUUAUGCUUUGAAAAGUUUUACAUGAAGCUAAAUUGUUUUCUAAAGGAAUUAGCAAAAUACACUGAGAUGGAAGGUAAAUUUUCAAGGAAAUGGAUAGUUACAUUUUGUGACAAUAAUAUUUCUUCCAGUCACUGUGGUGAGCCGCUUCUGCCGUUUCUGCAGACUAUGGUCGCCAUUACAAGAUGGCGCUGGCUCCGCUGUGGUCUGUGACAAACAACUCCUUAUUUGGGAGAGUUGGCGCAUGGUUUUUCACCACCCUAUGAGAAAGCUCCACGUGGCAGCUUCACAUUGGGGCUUGAGAUGCUUUAUUAAGGCUGGGAGGGGCAUCCGAGAGAGAGAAGAAGAAAUAUCAAGGGCCUGAAUAAACUGCUAAAAGAAGAUUCCUGAGUUGCGUCUUCCUUGCGGGCAAGGGGUCGCGACAAGUGGUGCCGAAACCUGGGAACCAGAACUUUCAGCAGUCAGGGGUGGUGCAUCAGUUAGUCCUAGGUAAGUGGGAUCUGCGACCAAAGCGGGGUUAGUCCCAAUAAGUGGGAUCCGCGAUCAAAGCGGGGUUAGUCCCAGGUAAGUGGGAUCCGUGACCAAAGCAGGGCAGCUCCUCUGUAAAGAAAGAGAGAGCAUUACAUUUUAUUGCAGCUGCACUGUGUACUUUCGAUUCUACUUUCGCUUUUGUUUUCUGUGUUUCUUUUGUUGUGUCAUUUCGCUUUUGU
rnacentral:lncRNA from 1 species